rnacentral:lncRNA from 1 species
AAGGAGUUACUCAAUCUUUUCCCCAGCAAUCAAUUUUUGAGGAACAUUAUCUAAUGCUUGCAUGUGCAUAGGCAUUGCAUGUAACCCUUUCUCUAGUAUAAGAGGAGGACCAUAGUUGUGUACUGAUAAUAAACUCCAACGUAAAAGUCUCCGCAUCUCUUGAAAUCCAAUCUAUAGCUUUUCUUUUCUUUUUGUUAUGGAGUUGUUCUUGGCAAUGCUUCCACUGUUAUUGUACUAUAUUAUCUUCAACCUUUAUAAGUUAGGAUACCAAAAGAAAGAUCAAUGUUGCUAUAUGCUAAGCUAUGAGUGCCAUAAAGCCGCUGAAGACCAGAAGCUUGAUCCUAGAUCCAGUGCUAGAAUUAUUUCACGAAACAAGAAUCUCGGAAUAGAAGAAUACAAGUUUCUUUUAAAGACUACGGUUAGUUCUGGCAUUGGUGAAGAAACUUAUAUCCCAAAAAAUAUCAUGGAAGGAAGAGAGGAAUCUGCAACUCUUAUGGAUGAAAUUUCGGAGAUGGAUGAUAUCCUUUUCGAUACUGUUGAUAAGCUCUUUGCUAAGACAGGAGUUUCUCCAUCAGAAAUCAACAUUAUUGUCUCUACAGUCUCUUUGUUCUCACCAGCUCCCUCUCUAACAGCUCGAGUAAUAAACCGUUACAAGAUGAGGGAGGACAUCAAGGCAUUCAAUCUCUCUGGAAUGGGUUGUAGUGCAAGUGCAGUAGCCAUUGAUUUAGUCAAGCAACUGUUCAAGACACACAAGAAUUCAUUUGCAAUCGUUAUGAGCACAGAAGCCAUGAGUUCACAUUGGUAUCCUGGAAAAGACAAGUCCAUGAUGCUCUCCAACAUUCUAUUUCGUACUGGGGGCUGCUCCAUUCUCUUAACAAAUAACAGAGAUUGGAAGAAUAAAGCCCUCAUGGAAUUGACUUGUUCUGUACGCACACAUAUCGGCUCUAAUGAUGAAGCAUAUAACAGCUGCUUCCAAGCAGAAGAUGACCUUGGAAUCAAUGGCUUCCGGCUCAACAAAGAUCUACCUAAAGCUGGUGCUAAAGCUUUAACCAUGAAUCUCCAAGUUCUUCUUCCUAAAGUCAUGCCACUGUCAGAGGUGCUCCGCUAUUAUAUAAGCUAUUAUCGAAAUAAAAUAAUGAAGCGGCCAACUCCUAAGGAUGCAGGACCUGGUUUGGAUAUCAAGUCUGGAAUCGACCACUUUUGUGUGCACCCUGGUGGGCGGGCAAUUAUCGAUGAGGCUGGUCAGAGUUUAGCACUCAACGAUUAUGAUCUUGAACCAGCUAGAAUGGCACUUUAUCGGUUUGGAAAUACAUCAUCUGGCGGCCUGUGGUAUGUUUUAGGUUACAUGGAGGCUAAGAAAAGGCUCAAGAAGGGUGAUAAAAUACUAAUGAUCAGCCUUGGGGCAGGUUUUAAGUGCAACAAUUGUGUGUGGAAAGUUAUGAAGGACUUGGAGGACACGAAUGUCUGGAAAAACUGCAUAGACCAAUACCCUCCAAAAACCUUAGCCAACUCUUUCUCUAAGAUCUUAGCUUCGAUCAGUGAUGAAAGCGUGAAUUUCACCACCCUUGAAGAUUACCUACCAUAACAUAAUAAAUCCAGCAGUUAGCAUAAUUAUAUGGUCUGUGAAGUUUGAUUGGAUCAUUGAAUAAAGCAUGAAUUUCGCCAGGCGUGAAGAUUUCAUACCAUAAGAUAAGACAUCCAGUUAUUUGCAUAAUUAUAUAUAUGGUCUCAUGCUGGGGCCUUAAAUUCAUCUGUCUUUAGAUCGACCUUCCUUUCAGCCUCUCCCUGUGUGUUGCGUAUAGUGUGGAAGUAUCUUAAGGUAUAAUAGUGAUGUGGCCCAUAUAUAUCUAUGAUGUUCAUGUAAUAAGUUACAAUAAGCUAUGUAAAACAAUAUUGAUGUAUCGAAUAAACUUAUAUCAUAUCCUUUGUAUCUUAUCUGUACUAAGUUUUCGUGAUCUCUGCAGAUGAACCUGGUUAUUGAUCACCCUUAUAUCAAAUGUUUUUGGGAACAUUUGGAUUUUCGAUUGAAUUAUUACUAUAGAAUCUUGAAGUCUUUCUCCGAAUUGUUUCUUUUACUAUAGAAUCUUUCCUAAUCGAGAUGUGCUCAACCUCCGUAUUUGUUUUAUGGGAUCUUUGAUGUGAAGUUAAUAGAUGAUUCUAUAUUCCGGUGUUCAUAUGAUUAUCUGACAUGCUUAUUCUUCUGCUGUUUUUAGGAAAAUUACUUAGGCUCUUCCAAGAUUUGCCUGCGAUUUUACUUUUCUUCCAUCAUUUCAGAAAUUACAUUUUUACAUAUCACUGUUUAUAAUAUUUAUAACACUUUAUAUACUAAUUUGAGUGCGCAAAAACUAAGUCAACAAAACAGUUUAAGAAAAUUAUAGGAUUGCUAUUGUAUUUGAAUUAAUAGCUAAACAUCACUUAAAAGUUAAAUAUUACAAUAUUGUGAUCAUCAGUGUACAAGUUACAAACUUUCUCAAAAAAAUUAACAAAUAGUAUCCUAUUUUUAAACACCAUUUCUACUCACUAUAUCAUCAUCUACAUCUUCCAUUUUUAAACACCUUUCUCUCCCUGGCCACCAUUAAAACCAUCCCCAAACACUAUUUGCAACCAACAAUCACACACAAACACACCAUUUCCAUGUAAAACACUCACUACCAUAUGAUCAUCUUCUCCCUCACCGCAUUGCCAUAAUUUUUGUGUAUUCCAUCAUUUCUGUAAAUUCUCUUCUUCAUACUAACAUUUAGCAAGUGUGCCCCCACACACACUGGCAUCAUUUCGAUCUAUUUUCUUUUUUAGAAUAACACUCACAUGGAACAUCUUGGCGAACUAUAGGUCAAAUAGGGUAAAAUUAAAAAUGAAUCCCCAUCAAUUUUUAUGGUAAUUAGAAAACUCUAAGUGGUCUUAGAAUUUUUAGAUAAAGGGUUAGUUAUGUGAGCAAAAAGAUAAAAAUCACCCUAUAAAUCCUAUAUAAGGUAAGUUGCUUUGAUAUUCGUUUAAAAAGAAAGAUGUUUGUUAUGCUUGGAGAUUAUAUAAACUAACAUAUUUUUAUUGUAAACAAUACUUAAACUAAAAGAGUGGUUUUGGAUUUGAGCCUGAAAACAACUUAAUCCCUAUUUUGAUAAAAGAUAUGCAUUGGACCCACAAGGAUUGUGAGUUAUAAAUGGACAUGAGACUGUUCUAUAUUAUAUUGAUUGAAAUGGACCCAAAGGCCAACACUCACUCUCAAUGGAUCUAUAUUAUAUCAUAUUGAUCGAACCUAACUUACUCGCAACAUUAAGAAUGAUAUUCCAAAUGCAAAAUAAGUAACACGUAUUAAUAUGAUUAUAGAUGUGUAAUCAUCAAUUUAAAUACCUUAUAAUAAACACCCAAGGAUAGAAACCAAGACUGGAUGAUUUAAUUCUUGGUUGAGUUAUUAAAAUAAGUGACACCUUAUACAUCAUAAUUAAUAAAGCACAUAAUAAAUGGCAUAAACAUAUAAUUGCCAAUUCAAAUACCUGAUGCUCAAAAUCCAUGGAUAGGAGCCUAGAAUAGGUCCUCUAUUCCAAAGUAGAGUUCUCAUAAAAGAUGACAAUUCAUGACCUUAAAAGCAUGUAAAUCUUCAUCCCUGAUAUCUUUUAACUUAAUAUGUGGCUCCACUAUAUUUUUCAUUAUUGUUAAAGUUUCUUCAACCUUUUAUUAAUAAUGUAUUUGAGUGUCUCAUUUAAUAAAAAAGUAACAACUCUUGUAGAAUGAAUCCAAGGUCUUCCCAAUAAUUUAUUGUCGGUUAGUUGGAUGUCUAUUACUUAAAUAACUUGGAGUUGAUGAAGCCUAAUGUUUAAAACAAUUUCAAUAUUAAUGUUAAUUUGUGCUAUUAUCCCAUCAUUAGUGAGAGCCAUCAUUUUCUGCAACUCAUUAAUUUGGUCAUUUAUGAAAAAUCUAAUGUUUGUCCCUUAAAAUAAGAGACUUAUAAUUUAGACUUUGUGUUGAAAAAAUAGGUGUUGGACUUGUAUGGAUGGUAGAAAUAGAGAUUUGGCCCCACUCUUUUAAAUAUAUCCAAAAUGAGUCUGAAAGGCGCCACAAAUACAUAAUAGGCCUAUGUGAGGAAACAUUCAUUCAACCUAGUUCCACUCAUAACAAUAGAGAUAAUAUGUUGUAACACAUAAAAAAUUAUCAAGAACAUAUUUACAAAAAAAAUUACAAAAAAAAACAUAAUAGUUUUACUUAUUAUUAAAUCAUAUGUUGUCACUUCGAGAGUGUCUCACCAGUAGAAUAAUAGUUCACUAUAUGAUGGAAAAGUGAAUCAAGAGAUUAUUGUCAAAUUCACCCUUCAACUCACCACUUCGUGUUUAUUAUUUUGGAAUGCAACCUUCAACUCACCAAUUCAUGUUCAUGUUUAAUAAGCAAUUUAUUUUAAAAACAAAGCAACAAUUCAUCAAAACAGCAUGCAAUCAUUUUUUUAUAUUUUAUAUUUUUUCAUCUUUUUUUGUUUUAUGUGAAAACAAUCCUAUAGUAUAAUUUUUUUUUUGGAAAACACAUUUUCAAUGCACAUUCAUAUACAAAACAUAUCAUGUCAAAAAAUUCAACACGCAAGAAAAUCAAACCACAUACAUGUCACAUCUAUGCAUAAAAUUAUCGGCACACACAAAACUAAACACAUGAAAACAUAAAAAAAAUAAAAAAUCCAACACGUUAAAAUUGUUCAAAAAUUCAUUCAGGGUUUGAAAUCAUCCUUCGAGAGUCAUUAGAGUUACCGCGAAUUAUGAGAACCGAGAGGAACAAUGUUGUCAAACUAGGUAGUGUUAGCAUGGGAACACAUGUUGCCUCUGUUGGUGGUUUUUUGUCGAUCGAAAAUGUCCUUCCUUUUUAUUUUGUUCUAUGCUAGCAUUGAAGAAAAUAGAGGCCUAUAGAUGAAGACAUCAAGAAGGUUCAAUUGUUUUUUCUUCUUAUAUCUCUUAGUCUUUUUUUCUAUUAUUUUCUCUCUAUAUUAGUUUUUCUCUUUGUACCAUAGGUUGGGUUGUUGUUCCUAUUGAGUUAUCAUUGUUUAUGAUUAUAAUAAGUUGUUGGCAUGGUGGAGAGAAGAAGGCCACUCUUAGUUGUAACUACAAGAUCAUCUUAUUGGCCUAAGAUGAAAAGAUAUAUGUAAUGAAUUUAUGAUAGAUGUAUAGCAUGUAGACAAGUUAUAUCUGAAGUUUAUCUCAUGGUUUAAAUACUCCUUUACUAGUGCCUCAUAAACCUUAGAUUGAAAUAUCUAUGAAUUUUAUUUUAUGUUUGCUCAAAUAAAAAAUAGAUAAGGAUUAUAUUUUUGUUAUGAUGAAUAGGUUUUCUAAGAUGAAACAUUUGAUGUUUUAUCAUAAACUAAUGAUGCAACUAACAUAACAAAUUUAUUAUUUAGGAAAAUAGUUUGGUUCCAUGGGAUACAUAGCAGCAUUGUGUCUAACCAUGAUGUUAAAUUUUUUAGAUACUUUGGAAGGUUUUAUAGGGGAAAUUAAGAAUAAGAUUGUUAUUUUCUAAUACUUGUCAUCCAUAAACAAAUAGUCAAACUAAAAUAGUUAAUAGGACUUUAACUACAUUAUUAAGAACUAUUAUUCAAAAGAAUUUAAAAAACUAGGAAGAUUGUCUGUCAUUACUAAAUUUUCAUAUAAUAACAAUGUGUAUUUUACAACAUAUUAUUCUUCUUUUAAAAUUUUUUAUGGCUUUAAUCCUUUGAAUUUAUUUCCUUUACCUGUUAAUGAAAAGAUUAGUCUUGACGACAAUAGAAAAACACAUGUAAUAAAGGCUUUCCGUGAGAAUAUGAUGUGAGAAAUACAAAAAAGAAUGAGCAAUAUGUAUUCAAAGAUAUGAAUGAUGAAAUAAGGUUAUUUUUUAACCAAGUGAUUGGGUUGAGUGUAUAUGAAAAAAAAAAAAAAGAUUUCCUGAACAAAGAAGAUCUAAGUUGAUACCGAGAGGAGAUUGACCAUUUCAAAUCCUUGAAAGAAUUAAUGAUAAUGCUUGCAAAUAAAUCUACAAGGAGAGGAUGGUGUUGUGCUACUUUUAAUAUUUCUAAUCUCUUUUUGUUUGAUGUACGCUAUAAUUCAUGGAUGAAUUAUUUUGAGGAGAGAGGGGAUGAUACGAUCAAGAUUACACCAAAAGAUCCAUUGCAAGUUUCAAUUGGUCUAAUUACAAGAUUAAAGGCAAACAAAGCUCAAAUAUGCAUUCAAUGAGUUUAUUUAGAGUAUUUGAGCCAAGAUGAAUUUCAAGAAGUCUUCAACUUCAAUAAGUGAUAAUCAGGCUUUAGUCAAUCUAAUUUAUGUAUAAGAGAGGCUUAAUCCAUCUAUAACAUAGACCUAAUUAUUUUGCAAUGUUGAGCUAAUUAAUUUCAAUAUUAUAGGCAAUUUUGAGCUUAUUUUCCAUAAUGCAUAUUUUUUACCCUAACAAGAAUAAUUUUCAAUUUGACCCUUGAAUUGGGGUAAAAUUUUACCAAAAGUUUCUAGAGAUCUUAUUAUAUAUUGAGUUAAUAUUUUAGGGAAAUCGAGCUUCAAGAAGGCCUUAUGAUAAGGUCUAAAAGCUAAUGUGUGAGAAUUGUAUUACUUUCCUAAUUGAUUUAGGAUUAUUUUUCACAUUUUAUUUAGAACUCUUUUAAUAUUUUUUCAGAAUUUUUUAGGAUAUUUUUUUUUAUUAUAAAUAAGGUUAUUUAGCUUGUAUUUAAGAUUAUUUUUACAGACUUUAAUUUCAAGAAUUAUUAUUUUGUGUGUGAGGUUUUGCUCAUAUUUGUUUUUUUCAUUGAACUAUAAUUUAUCAAAGAAUUAACCAAAUUUCAUGACAUCUUCUAUACUUCUCUUUCAUGUCUCUUUAUAGGCGUUGGUUAAGGGUUGGUUACUUAUAGUCUUGGUGUCUUAGUAUAGUUUAUCAUUGUGUUAAGCUCAAUCAUAAGCCUAAAUUUAUCUUUUUUAGGCAUGGUCAAUUUGAUUAUGGGUUUCUAGAUAUGUAUAUCCAUAGGGUUCGCAUCAGCAUCGCCCACCCAUUUUCUUCCAUUACCUUCUCUCACCACCAUUUAUACCCCUAAAACCACCAUAAAAAAAAGGAUAAAGUAAGCCACUCAUUCAAGCUUUUUGCAAUAAAAAGUGACUUUUAGGGUAGAGAUUCAUCGCAAUAAACCAAUGUUCCCUAUCAAGUCAACUAGUAGAGCUUAUAGAAGCAUUUCCCCCACUUUAAAUACAGGGAAAAGAAAAAAGAUAGACCCAUAAUUAAAGAAUGAAAAUGCCAAAUAAAGAGUGUCGCAUAUUGUGCUGCGGUGUUAUGGCGAACGUUGUUUUGAAAUAUCCAUGUUAUAGAAUGUGGUAUGGGGAAAUGGAUAGGACAAUGACUUCUUUUCCUUUAUCAAUGGAAAGAGGAAAUGAGAGUCGCCACAUAGUAUUUUGAUUAUUAGGAACUUUAACUUGCUUUAACGAUCGGGCAUAAGGACUGGUAGGCAUAAGGACUGGUAGCAUAAAGGAAAUGUAUUAAUAGCCCUAAUACGCCUUAUCUAAGGUAAGCUGCAUUGUUUGAUUGCCUCAUAUAACUGGAGUAUCAUUGUGUUUUCUAAUUGUUAGUCUGCCUCAGGUUUAAGAAAAGUCAUCUUCAGUAAAGAGAUUCUUAUCUUAUCGGGUAAAAACCUAACCAUUCUAAUGUUAACAAAAAAAAAACUAUUAUUUAAUAUUAGAAAUACAUCUUAUGUAUAAGUUCAUAAUCUUAGUGACUAAAAGAAAACAAAAUAUUUUUUUACGUAUUUUAGAAAUAUAGACCAAGUUCUCAUGAUUUUAAUAAAUUAGUUAUUAAAGCUCAAAAUAAAUGCUAACACAUUUUUUUUAAUUUUAUUUUGCAUGAAAAUAUGAUAUGAGAUAUUGGUUUUUAUAUUUUGAGAGACUUGGCCGAAUGCAUGAAAACAAGGCAUUUUGUUUUGUUAUAUAUAUAUAUUGUAACAUUUUAGAGAAAACCAGGUAUUUUAAUACCUGAUUUGUAUUUUUACAAUAUAAAAAUACAAACCAAUAUUAAUCAAAAUGGGUAGAAAAAUACGCAAGGAAAUCACAGAUGUUUUGAAAGAAUUUUUGGAAUUUUUAGAAUUGUUUUUUGGUUUUUUGUAUUUAAUAUAUAAUACAAUAUUAUUAUUAUUAUUAUUAUUAUUAUUAUUAUUAUUAUUAUUAUUAUUAUUAUUAUUAUUAUUAUAUAUUGGGUUGGGCUCAACCCAAUUAUAUGGGUUAAGCCCAUCCUGGUUAGGCUGAGAUCGACCUAAAAGAAAUUAAAUCGAGAUCAGUCUAAAUAAGGGUUGGGCCAAUGGUGACCCAAUAGACUUUACUUAAAGGGAACCAGCCCAGAUGUUUUGGUCUGGAUCGACACUGGUCCAACCUAGGAACAAUGGCUCUCCACUCUUCACGUGAACAGUGGAGCUAGUAGGGGAUGAUGUGAGGCAAAAGAAAAAGUAGAGAAGGGGAGGCUAAGCUGGCGGUGGCGUUGGUGGCAAAAUGAAAGUGGUUCCAGUGGCGAUGGGGAGAAAAAUGAACAUUGCUACUGUUUUUUCUUUCUGUGCAAAGGCACAGGUUUCUUUUUUUUCUUUCUAUUCUUCCUCCUCUCUAUUUUUUGUGCCCUCAUCCUCUAUGUUUUUCUUUUCUUCCCUUCCUUUUCCUUCCUCUGUUUUUCUCUUGUAUUUUGUUUUUCCUUCUCUUUCUAUCUCAUUUUUUUUUGUCUCUCUUUUUCAUCUUUAUUUCUUCCUUUUCUUUCAUUAUCUCCUCCUCUUUAUUUUUUUUUAUUUUUUGUGGGGACCCAAAAAUGGAUAACAACAAAGAGAAAGGAGAAAAAAGAGUUUUGAGCUGAGUUUUUGAAUUUAGUUUUGUUUAGGGGGUAAAAGAGAAAAAUAAGGAAAGAAAAGAAAAACAAAGUGAGAAACCUAAAAAGAGAGAUGCUUAUUAACCUAAAAAUUGAAUUUGUGUGAGUUAAGAUGUAAGAAAGAAUGAGAGAGAACGAAAAGAGAUAGAAAAUGGAAAAACAAAAGUAAGUUUUUUUAUUGGACUCUUGUAAGAAAAACUACUUGAAAACCCCUCCGCUGGUAGCACCAACAUCGUCUCUACCACUAUAAGCAACCACAACACUCCCUUCCUCACUUAAAACCACCUAUAAGGUGAGCUUGAUCCCUUUUUCUUUCUUUUCUUAUUCUUUAUCAUGGCUUGCAAAGAUUUUACUAUUGAAUAUGUCAAAUAAUGCACAUUACAUUAUUCAUUUAUGGUUAUUAUUCAUUCAUGCAUUUUUAUUUUAUUGUCUUCGCAUUCAUGUAAAUAGUUUUGUUUCAUAAAAUUGUGCUUUUUCUUUUUACAUAUGCAUGUAUAUGUAAAAAUUCAAUUUUGAAAGUAGGUUACAAUUCAAAACACAAAUAAUAUAUAUUCCACUAUUCAUGCAUGAUUACUAUUUAUUAAUGCAUUUUAAUUUAUUUUCAUUGACUUCGCAUUCACGUUAUCUUUGUUUUGUAAAAAUGUUCUUUCAUCUUUUUACAUAUACAUAUGAAUGUACAUAUUUAUUUUUGGAAAUACAUUACUAUUCACUUAUAUAUUAUUUUAUUUUUAUUAACUUUGAAUCAACUUAUGAAUUUUCAUCAAGUUAGCAUUAUGUUUUGAUAAAACUUGGGUUUUAACAAUUAGAUCAACAUGUCUUCUAGUUAUAGGUACUGUUGGUUAAAUUUGCAAGUGCACAAAUUGUAACAAGUAAUAAAGUGAUGAGUAGAGUAUCGUCCCACGAGGAUUUUUAAAAAUUACUACUAAUUACCAAUUUUUUUUAAAUUAUGAUCUAUUUGAGGAAUCGAAUAAGAUAGUUUAUGAAACAAAAAUUAAUGAUUAAAAACAAACAACCAAUUGAUUAAAUAUUAAUGAAUUCAAUUGUACUGGUUCUAGGAUUUCUGACUUAUCGUAACUGUGCCUAUAUGAACUUUCUCGAUUAAAUUAAUUACUCCUAAUGUUGAAUAUCAGGUUUUCCUUAUGUAAAUAUUAAUCUAUCUUGAGCAUCAAUAAAUUAAUUCGACAAACAAAUUUCAUAUACUCUACAAAAGUUCUGAACUUGUCGAAAUUUAUUAAGUACUAUAAAACCUGUAACGAUUACAAAAGUUCUUAGGAUAUCUCUAUCCUAUAGAUUUCUUACGGUAUUUCAAACAAUAGCUAAAACAAUUAUCACUUCUCAGUUUCAAAUUGAAUCCUAAAUCAUGCAGAUGUUGGCCAAACACACGCAAGCAUUACACAUAUAAUGAAAUACUCAACAUCUUAAUGUAAUAAUUCAACCGAAAAUGUUUUUCACAUAAUCAUCGAAAGGUUACAUAAAAAAUCCCAGAAUAAAAGUCUACUCCAUAGUUAAAUUAAAGAGAAACAAACUUGAUACGAUGAACAUCACUCAAAAGCAUAGAAUUUCCGUCGAAAAGAUAGGUGUCCUCCCGGUUUUCAAUAGUUUUGCCUCUGCCCCUCUUUUGUUCCCCUUGGUGCCGCCUCCUCUCCUUUUCUUUUCUAUGUUGUAGGAUUUCUACGUGUCUUCAAUCCCCUGUUUUUAGAUCCCCUUAUUUUCUUUUAUAUUGUGGCUUUUUUACCCCUGCAGUAAUGAGGAAAGUUUCCUUUUAUGCAUUAACUUCCUUCCUACUCAGACAUUGCGGGCCCGAUUUGAGGUAUAAAAUGUGCAAAUUCAAAGAUCUUUAUUUCUGGAGAAAUUGUAGAGAAUCAAAUUUUCUUUCCAACAAAGCUGAUCUUGCAAUUUGGACGUCUGAGCGUUGAGAUAAGGGCCAUAAACCGAAACAAUCUUUGCAGUGCAGGAAUUUCGGGCUGGUUCAAUCCUUGUUUUUCAACUCGCUUUUUGGGCUUCGAAACAACAAAACUGAGUUAUAUGCCCUUCAUAUAUUUUGUAGACCUUCAUCUCAGCUAUUUGAAAAUGGUUAUGAACAUCUAGAACUAAAUUGUAUAGCUUCUUUACAGCACAUAAUGAAUCACUAUUUAGUUUCACUACCCGGCUCUACCUGUUCAGUAACCUAAGAUCUGAAAGCACAUUAAUUUCCCACGAGGUCAAUAGUUCAAAAAGAGAUUUAAAAUAUUUAAAAAUCAAGCAUGAAUAGCGGAAAUUAUACAUGCUAAAAAUUCCCUUAUCAGGUACCAAUAUAGUUUUAGUACACAACUAUAAUUUCAUCUUCUUUAACAAGAAUUUAUAAAGUUAUGAGACUGUUAAUGCAGGGUCCGAUGCUAACUCAACGAUCAUCCAUCAAUAAUAAAUAACGUACAAAUAAGUUCAGAAAUAAUUAGGCAGUUAAUGGCAUAUAUGAAAUGAAUUUAGAAAAACAGAUGGCUAAGGUAACCUUUCAUUUGAAAAGAUAUGGUAAGUAUUAUUUUUUUCCCUUAGGUAUAAACAAUCCCUUACUCGAAUUUUUGAAACUAGUUCAUCCUUUGAGAUUCAAAGUCUCCUUGAAAACUCAAUGGAGACUUCAAAAUGUUUCCAAGACUCUCUCAAUGGACAUUUUAAAGCCCUACUCGCAUCGUGUGCAGCAAUAAUCUCCUCUAUAAAUUGUGACAAGGAUUGCAAACUAUUUCCCUUAUUAGUUUUCAUCUCCACCCUUUCCUUUAUAGGUUUUAAUACUAUACAUUGCCCCUUAAUAUUGAAAGUAUAUGCAUUAUUUUGCCUAUAAUGCACAAUGUUCCUAUCAAGAUAUUAAGGCCUUCACAACAAAAGAUGACACACAUCCAUUGACAACACAUCACACCAAUAACACCAAGUUUAUAUAUUUACCUCAGUGCUUUUUUAAGUCAAGUCAAUUUGUAGGGCUUAAUAUAGCUCUUGGUUUUUAGCUAGGCCUUCUUCACUAACUACAAAUACAUCAUAUUUUCAUAGAUACCAUUAUCUAUAAAUAUGUUAUAAACCUUAUCAUUUAUGGUUCACAUCUAGUGGAAGAUGUUAGUAAACCAUCAACCUUCACCUAAAUCACUCUUAAGAGUAAGUAGACUUUUUUGAAUGACUAGGGUAACACCACUAUCUCCAUGCAUAAUCUCCUCACUACUAUUUGAGUCAUCAUGAAUAGAAUCAUCCAUAUCAUUUAUAAGUUACUCAAUAGCUUACUACACUCAAUAGCCCAAUGCCCUAAUUUACCAUGCUUAUAAAAAUAAAUUCUAAAAGUUUAACCAAAACCCUAACCUCUUGUCACUCGAGUUUGCUAAGUAGGUAUAGGUUGGGGGUGGUUGAACUUUUAGUAUUGUUGUGUCCUCCAUCCAAAAAUUCUUACUAAAUGCCUUAGCAACCAAUUGUUUCUUUACCACCAAUACCCUUUGAUAUUCCUAUGAUACUAUAUAUAGGGAUUGAAGGCACAACACAUCUUGGAUGGAAUACCAUAAACCACUCAAAUACAUUACCACUAACUAAUUUUUCAUUUUUACCAAGUUAUUCCUUGCCAUUAAUUGAUAAAAAUCAUUAGUAUAAUAGUUAAGGGAUUUACCACCAUAUUUUAGCAUGCGAAACAUUGGUGCAAGGUUUGUGCAUAGCCAGAAAAGAAGGAAAGGUCCUUUACCAUAUUUUAGCAUUGUAAAGAGGGGGGCAACUGUUGUAACCCAUUUUUGGGUCCCCACAUAUAAAAUAAUAAAAUACAAAAAAAUUCAAAAAAAUAUACUACAAAAAAAAUAUAUAACAGUGAAAAAUGCCAGAGCGCCAUAAACAUGCUAAAAAAAAUUUGUUUGAGGAUUUUUAAAAAUAUAAAAAUUAUUUUUUGACAGUAUAUCAUUAACUGAUGAGAGCCCCGAUGAUAAAGAAAAUUCAAUUUGUGGAAGAAAAAUGCAAAAUCAGAAGUUUAUGGACUCAAUUAAAUUUUAUUGAAGGUUUAAUUGAAUUUAUGGAGAUUUUAAUUGCAAGAAAAAUUGAUUUUGGAGUUAAUUUGGGCUUUAAUUAGGAGAAAUUAAUUUUCUGGGGUCAAAUUAUAAUUUUUGGAAGUUAAAUUUGGUCAAAUCAGGGGCUUAAUUGCAUAAAUUAUUGAAGUUUAUGGCCAAUUAGGGACUUAAUUGAAGAAAUCCGAGACCAAGGACUACAUUGUAAAACGCGCGAAAAUGGAGGGCCGAAAUUUGAAUCUGAUGCUUUUGGCGCCUUUUUCUUUUAAAUGAAACGGCGCGUUUUGACCAAAACGGCGCCGUUUCAUUCACUGUUGCAAAAAAAAAAAAAAAAAAAGAAGCCCAAAACGGUGCCGUUUUGACGGCACUGUAGCCCUUCUUCUUCCCCUGGACACACGAGGCAGGGGAAGAAGAAGAUUUUUUUCUUCCCCUUUUCGCCUAAUUACUUUCCCUCUUUUGCUCAAAAAGACGCCGAAACAAGGACACCACUUGCCGACCACUCUCCACGUGUUGGACGGGCGUUGGACGGGCCUUCUCUAUUUUCAUGCAGAACAUGAAUUAAUUCACGUUCUGCAACUGAUGAGAGGCUGGUUACUGUGCUUAUGCACAGUAACCAGCCCAUUUAGUUUUGGGCCGGUUCGGCCCAGCCCACUGAAAUGGGUCGGGUCCGGGCCAUUUCAAUUUUUUUUUUUUAUUUUUUAUUUUUAUUUUUUAGAAUUUUUACAAUUUUUCCAGCACAUGUUUUUAUCAAUUUUGCUUAAUAUCGGUCUGUAUUUUACAUCGUAAAAAAAUAUAAAUUCGGUAUUAAAAUACCUGAUUUUCGGUAAAAAAAUCUAAAUACGGUACUGUUCACACAUGCAAAAAAAAAAUCAAAAAUAUUUGUUUCAGCAUUUUUUAUAAUUUUUCCACGUAGUUUUUAUGUCAUUUUUUAUUAAUAUCGGGCAGUAUUUUUACAUCAUAAAAAUAUAAAUCCGGUAUUAAAAUACCUGGUUUUCAGCAAAAACUUCCAAAAAUAAAAAAAAAUAAAAAAAAGAUAAAAAAAAAAUGUUUUUGUGCAUACGGCCAAGUGUCUCAAAUCUAAAAAAUCAUAUCGUAUUUUCAUAUGUCAAAAAACAAUAUUUUAGCAUGCAUUUUGGCUUUAAUAACCAGUUUAUUAAAGUCAAGAGAACAUUGGCCAAAAUUCAAAAACAACAAAAUAUUUUAUUUUGUUUGAUUUUAGUAUCAGGAUUAUGAAUUUAUACGUAAAUCGUAUUCCUGAUAUUAAAAAGAUAUUUUCUUUUGACGACUUCGAAUAGUUAGUUUUUUUACCCGAUAAAGAUAAGGAUCUCCUUACAGAGGAGGACUUUUCUUAAACCGUAACCAACAAUUCAAAAAAAAAAACCACAACACAAUUUUAGAUUUUAUCAGACAUUAAAACAAUGCAGCCUACCUUAGGUAGGGCGUAGUUGGGGUGCUAAUACCUUCCCUUUACGCAACCAGUCUCCGUACCCGAUCUCUAAAGACCAGUUAAGGUUCCUAGUAACCAGAAUACUAGGUGGCGACUCCCUGUCCAUUUUUUCACUUAUAGAGACAAGAUUUCCUUGUCUCUCCCUUUUUUGUCGGGAAUAAAUAUUCCGAUUUUUUUUUCCUUGAGGGUGGACGAUCGCUGCGCCGCCGCACACGUGCGACACUCGUUAAACCAAUCUAUGAACUCCUCUGCAUGUAAAGUUUAUGCAAAAUCAGGAAGUUUAAUAAAAAAAAAAAUCUAAAAUCUCUAUGAUGUUCUACAUGAUCGAGAGGCUACCUCCUCAACUCUUGCCUUUGGAAUGGGUUUUUGGUCCUUUCUACUAACUAUUGGGUAAGCUCUACGAUUUUCAUUGCAUAUUCUCUAUCUCCAUAUCCUGAACAUUUCUCUUUUAAAAAGGAACCUCCUUUAUCUCUUUCUACUAAAGAUCAUUUCCAGUUGUUGUUGUUUAGUAGCACAAAACAAGAAAAUAACUAGGGAUCAUUGGGUUUUAAUGCCAACUCAUGUAGACAUAAACAAAAAAUCAAAGAAGACAACAACAAGAAAAAUCUAGUCUGACAAAAUAGGACUAGUAUAACAAGAACUCUAAUUUAUAGUUUAACUUAUGAAAGAAAAGUCUAAUAAGUUUUGCCUUUUCACAAAGGUUCACUAGUCUUUAAAUAGACCUAAAAUUAACCUUAAUAAGGAAGAAAAACCAUUAUCCCUAAACUAAAUGGAAAACUAGUAAAAAUCCAAAAAUAACAUAAAAUCCAAACAGAUUAAGGAAAAAUAAAAAAUUUACUCAAACAGUAUCUUUAGAGCUUAAUCUGGAGGUCUUCCAAAAAAGGGUUAGUUUAAGUGUGCUGACGUUAUAGUAGAAUUAGGCCUCGAGAAUCACCUAAAAAUAUUUAAAUAUAAUCCAACAAUCGAAUUGAAAGUUUUUAUUAUUAUUAUUUCUAGGUUGUUGGUGUGAGCAACCCGAUAUCUUCUUAAAUUUAGCUUAGUCUCACUAAUUCAUAAAUAUAUUUUUCUAGGCUACCUGUAUCAUUUGUUGGUGGCAAGUUCCUAUAUGACUGCUUAAAACCUUUAUAUUCUUAUAAAGUGAACCAAACCCGCUGAAUAUUACAUUUUGACUCAUAUCUAAUGUUCAUUGAUUAUUGAGUACCAUAGUUAUAAAACAUGGCCCAAGAAAUUCACCUAGCGACUCGGUAACUUAGAGUCAUGCCCAAGCCAGGUUUUAUUUUAAAUUUAUUUGGAGGUUGACCUAGUUAACCUGGUUAACUUGACCAAACCUAGAUGAGACCUAUCAAGUCAAUUCUAAGAAUUUUUUUUUUUAAUUUUUAUUCAGAACACCAUUGUUUUAUUUAUUUUGUUUUUUUAAAAAAAAAUUGAAAUAACAUUGCUUUGUAAUUGACACAACAAAUCCACAAUCCAGGCCUGUACCAGGUCUAAUAUUCUUGUUGAGUACAACUUGCAACACUCAUCAAUAGGUAUUGAUUGUUUCUCCUCCCUUAAUCACACUUUAAUUCACAUUCCAUGGCAAGGGGUUAUUUGUUUACAAUGUUCUCUCUUUUCACCACAACCCUCACCUCUGGCAAUUACAAGGACCUCUUACUGGUCAUAGUACAUAGACACGACAACAGCCAGUAAUAAUAGUAUUGAUCUCCACUGCAGCAAUACAUUUUGGUUUAUAAAUAUGAACCCUUUUGUGCGCUAAUUUUUUGAAUGAUUGACAAUGAGCUGUUCUAAUCAGUUUAGAAAAUACAUGUUAUCCUGCUGAUCGCAUCGCAUAUUUAUGAAGUGUACAUGCCCAUGUUAGUUCGCGGUUAAAAAUUUGGUUGUGAGGUUGUAGGUCACAAAUCAAGGGGGAUAAGAUGCUUCAAUAGCAGGAAAAAAUAGUUCAGCUUUCAUGGUUACAGCUCCACGUCAAUGGAAGGGUGACUUUGGAGGGAUUUGAUGUUGCUAUGCAGAAUAACUUACAGUAAUCAGAGAACGUAAUUAAGGCUUCGAAAUGAAAGAAACCCAUAUUUGUGGUUUAAGUUGAUUUCCAAAGGAAGAACAAAGAUUAUCAUGGAGUGUGAACCAGCUGAAGAUAUGCAAAGUAAUUAAGAUUAUUGAGAAAGUAAUUCAAAUUUAAUUUACUGCAGCUCUUGAAUGGUUGAAGGUUAGGCUAGGAUGUGGCUCCUUAGUCCUUAUUACUAAUACUAAUUUGAGAAAUUAUAGAAUAAAUUAACUAUUUCUAAUGAAAAAGUUUCAUGGACGUAACCAAUAAUUAUCUAAUAACUGUGAUCACCUUUUCAUUGAUUUAAAUUUAAAGAAGUAGUCUUAAUGAUUAAGGAGAUUUUUUUCUUCUUAAUUAGAUUUCAAGUUAAAUUGUGAUAAGUAAAAUUAAAAUUUUAAAAGAGGGAAUUGAAAUUUUAAAUAGGAAAAUAGACUCAGGUUCCGUAAAUAUUAAUUAGAAAAAAGAAUACAUCAUCCAAAAAAACUUUUUUUGUUAAAAUAGAUAUACAUGCCAGCUUGAACCUAUUUGGACUUAAAUUUUCUAUCUUAGAUAAUAGGAAUUUUAUAUUCUUUUUAUUUUUCCAAAAAUGUUUUAAAUUAUUUAAAAUCAUCAUCAAAUUUAUCUAAAUUAAGACAUCAUAAGAUGCCAAAAUAUGUGCUGUGACAUUUUCCCUUUCAUGUGCUAAAAUUAUUUAAAAUCAGCAUGCUUAAUUUGUUGACAACACUCUUGUUAGAAGUUGGGAGAGUUAGGCAUAAUUACGUAUCCACAAAUGCUUUCUCCUAUGAAGUUGGUGCAAUGAAUUGAUAGAUCGGUUGGGCGGUACUCAAAUUUAAAGCAGUUUAAUUCGGGGACCGUGUAUGUCGCAAUCGAAAAUCCAUACAGAAUAUUGUCCCAUUGAAUGACAACAAAUCCACUGAUUCCAACUAAAAAUUGAGAAAUUGAGUUAAAAAGCUGACAUACAAAAUUAUUUCUUAGAAAAUAGAUACAGCCAAAACUUUAAUUGAUUUGAAUCAAUAAAAUUAAGUUUUAUUUUUUAGAAUCAAGCAUUAAAUCAACGUCAAAAUUUAUUUUUAACAUUACGAGAUCUCCAUAUAAAACAAACUAAAACGAAAUAUCAAACUUAAUUUUAAUUCAAUUUAAUGUGAAAAGGUUAAAUUUGGAAUAAAAAAAGUACAUUUUCAUAAUAUUGUGGGCAACUAUUGUGACCUAUAGUGGAUUGUGUCUUUCUUCUAAAUUACAUUUUCAUAAUUUGUUUUCAUAUUUUUUUUCAUUUUACAUUGUCUUGCUUGUUCAUGAUUUCAAACAUUAUUUUAUGGUUUAUUAAGCGUCAAUUUUAUGAAACCAUACCAAAAUUAUUAAAUGGGAAGCAAAAUAACUCAAUAAAAAAAAGGAUGAAAAUGAAAUGAAAAGAACUCAAUCAAUAAAAAGAAAAAGGAGGAUAUUAAUAGUAAAAAAAAUCUUGAGGUGGUUUAUUGUUCACUAGGUAAGGGCUCAUGCUACGACGCUAGCCGAUCCAAAUUUGUUUCAAUAUAAAAAAUACAUGCUAUGGUGAUGCAAGUAUUCCUAAAAAAGCAUAUUAUUAGCUUGAUUGUAUUUAAUAAGCUCAAUUAAUUCAAAUGAUACGAAAAAAAAUGAAAGAAAAAAAAUUGAUGUGGUUUAAUUUUUAUAGAAACAGUGUUUCCACCUCAAAUGUUUUAAUUGUAUUGAUAAUGAAUCAUUGGAUGCAUCACUUUCAUUUCAGAAGACAAUAUUACUAAAAUAUGUACAUCUUUUAAUUAGUUGGAUCCCAACAUCUUUUAAUUAAUGACCCAAUAUUUUGUACUUGUACUUAGUGGAAGAUACUGCCUUUGAACUAAUAUUGUAAUCUUGCAUUUAUGGAAGGUACUGCCUUUGAACUAAUAUUGUAAUAUUGCAUUUAUGGAAGAUACUGCCUUUGAUUAGGUUGCAAAUAGGAUUUUAAAUUAAUUUUUAAUACAAAAUAAGAAGGUGCCGGGUGAGGUAGAUGCAUUUUCAUAUAUCAUAAAUUAACAUUUCCAAUUGAAAGAAUGGAAAAAUAAUUUAUGCACUUAAUAAAAUUAACUGAAAAAAUAUAAAUUAUUAAAUUAAACAAGAAUUGUUAUCUCUAAUUAAAAACUAAAAUGAGAAGUUGAUCUUUCUUUUGAGAAGCAAACGAUAGAUUCAUAUACAAACACUUUAUCUUAAUUGUCCUUUUUAUUUUAUAAUUUUAUUUAUUUAUCUUGAAAGUUAAUUGUUAUCGCUAAACAUAUAUGAAUUUUGUUCUUCUAUAUUCAUCAUGCAAGUACAAUUUACAAGAAAGAAAAUUAAAACAAGUUACAAUAAUCUAUUUAAGGUAAUGUGAAAUUAUAAAAACAAUCUAAAAAAAAGAUUACUAUUUAAAAAAAAAAUUCUUAAGUGCAUUCUUUAUAUCUUCCAUGUUUGCAUUCUUAUGUUUCGGUUUGUAUGGAGGGAUUGAUUUGGUCGAAAAAGGGAAUUUAUUAUUGUAGAGGAAAUAAAAAUGUUGGUUGAUGAGUUCUAGUCAUGAGAAAAGGAGAUAGGUUUUGAAUGGUUUUUCAUGGCAGAAAGCAAGGUUUGCUCGGUCAUAAAGAGAAAGAUGAGACUAUGGUCAAUACGAGGCUAUUGUGGUUAUGAUGGAACGAUGGUUAGAAUCUAGCAAUGUGGGUGAGAAAAAAAGGGGUGAGAGAGAGAGAGCAUAUAAUUUUUUUUUUUUUUUUUCUCUUGUUUUCUUUUUCUUCAUUUCUCAUCUUGCUAACUGUUUGUCUUGCUUUAAUAAACAUAUUUAGAGAAUCACCAAUUAUGAAUCUUAUUGAAAUAAAAAGAAAAAAUUAUAAUAUAAUCAUUAAUUAGAAGAUCGAUGAGGAUUUUAAAUCUUGGAAAUUUUAUGAACAAAAAUCUUUUUUUUUUCAUUCUUACAAGAUCUCUUAUUUUCCUUAUUUACUUCAAUAAGAUUCAUAAUUAAUUGGUGAUUUUCUAAAUAUGUUUAUUAAAGCUUUCUUUGUAGUUCAAGUCAACUUGAAUUUUUUCCAUGUUGUUCCAAUAUUUAAAUUAUUGCAAAUAAGCCUUAUUUAUUUGUGCAUCUUUGAAUUUCCUUAUUUUAUUUGAUCUUUCAUAUUAUUUUAUCUUUCAAUAUCUUAGUUCUUUCUUCCUUUUCAUUGCCUAUCAUUUCACUGUUUUUUUUAAUUUUUAUUUAUUACCAUACAAAAUAAAAAAAGUGAAAGUGUUGAAAAUUAUGAAAUAACCAUAAAUUAAAUGAAUUGCAUAAAAAACACUCUUUUAUAUAUAAAAAAUAUCUUUUUAAACGGGUUAUAACACCCUAAAUAAUAUAGUAAUCCUUUAAUGCUUAAAUUAGAAAAAUUAAAAAUAGUGAAUAGGAUAUGCAGCAGAAGAGGAAUUAAGACAGUGUGGUGGAGAAAAUAAUCACCCCCGUGGAGAAUGUUUCUUUUAAGGUGAUAUGUCUGAUUUUUCCUGGGCUUUUUUUACCAGAUGUAUUUAUACUUGAAUGAAUGUACCAACUUGCAUGGUUGUAAGGGCAUAAUUGGUAAGAUGCUAUCAACCCUCACGUAACGGUAAUUAUAGGAAUUCAUAGCUCUAGGUGUGGUGGUGCAUCAAAAAUGGAGGUAAUUAUAGGCAUUCAUAGCUAUAGCUAUAGGUGUGGCUUUCAUAGCUUUAGGUGUGGUGGUGCAUCAAAAGUGGAGGUAAUUAUAGGCAUUAAUGGCUAUAGGAGUGGUGGUGCAUUAAAAUUGGAGUUUUAUUACUUUAUUCGCUAUUUAUUUUUAUAUUUUAAAAAUAUUUUUAAAAAAUUUAAAAAUUUUAUUUAUUUUAAAUUAAUAUAUUUUUAAAUUAUUUUAAUGCGCUGAUAUUAAAAAUAAUUUUUAAAAAAUAAUAAAUAAAUUAUUUUAUUACAUUUCUAAAUAAAAUAUAUUUAAAAAAUAACUGAAACAACUUUGACUCUACGGCUCCGUUUGUUUGCUGGAAAGUAUUUUUUUUUUUUAAGUGAAUUUCUGGAAAAGUGAAUUCCGAGAAAGUAUUUUCCAAUGUUUGGUAGUGUAAUGAAAAAUGAGUUGGAAAACACUUUCUAGUGUUUGGUUAUGUCAUGGAAAAUGAGCUGAAAAAUAACUUAUUAAUAUUUUAUUUUUCUCAAGUUUAUGAAAAUAAUGAGAAACAAAUCUUACAAAUUAAAAAGUUGAAUGAGAAUGAAAUUGAAAAAAAAAUAUAAUUUCAUAAAUUAUCUUAAAUAAAAUAAAUAAUAAUCAAAAUAAUAGAAAUCAAAUCUAAAAAAUUAAAAAAAAAAUUGAAAGAUGAAGAAAUUAAAAUAAUAAUAAUCAACAUUUCAUAAAUUAUUUCAAAUAAAAUAAGUAACAAUCAAAAGAAUGAGGACCAAAUUUGAUAGAUAAAAAAUUUCAAUAAAAAUAUAAUAAAAAAAAAAUACAAUUAUAAAAAUAAAAAUCAAAAUUAAUAUAACAAUAAAAACAUGGUUAGUUGGCCAACACUACCAGGUGGGGUCCAAUGUGAUAAAUCAUAUGACGGUGCAUGAACUGGUGGAUUCCAUCGAGGUCCAAAAGUCCUCUCCAACCGGGGCAGGCAAGUGCUCCCUCGCCGUCGGGGAAAGGUUUGAGCUUUCCAGAAGCAAUUAAGCUACAUGGGCUUCCUUUUUUUUUUUUUUUUUCUCCUAUUCUAGAUUUAUCUUUUAUGGACUUGAUAGGGGGGCUAUGGACCCUUGGCCCGUAGGAAAGUAAAUUUCUUUCUUUAAAUGUAGAAAACAUUAAAAAGAGAUUAAUGUUAUAUAAUAACAUUGCAAGAGAGUCGUAUAAUUUACAAUGAUGCAUGUCUAUUCCUUUCCUUAGGAGGUAAGGCGAAACUCAGACCUUUUCAUUCAACAUCUUUACUUAUAUGCAUGUAACAAAUGCAAAGCGGAUUGAAAAAAAAAAAAAAAUUCUGUAACUUUUUUCUUUUUUCCUCUUAUAUUUUCGUCCAAAACAUCCAAUUGAGCUAUGGUACAGUACUAUAAAAAAGUUGAAAAUGGAAAAUAAUAAAAACCUAAAAGUUUCUUAGAAACCUUCUACAUCGUAUUUAAAAGAACUACUCGCGAGAAAGUUAAUUUGAUAAUUGUUUUUUGGUAACUUUCCAUUAAAAACAAAGGGAAAGGUAAAAGUAAUAAUAAUCUUAUAAAUGGGAUAAAUAUUAGCUUCUCAAACCCAUAAAAAAAAUCUGCUUAAGAUGUUGGAAACAAAAUACAUUCAGGACGUCAAAGAAUGGAUAACUUAAUUACUAGUUUCAUGAUAACAAAACCUCAAAGAAUUUCAUAAUUAAAUUUAAGGUAAAUAAAAAAAUCUAAAAUUUAAAAAAAAUAGCUUAGUGUUUCUCAUACAAUACACUACAAAUUAAAAUAGUAUAAUAAAGAUUUUUCCCUUCUCAAUAAAAAUUAAAAUCUAAAAUUAAAAAAAAAUAGCUUAGUGUUUCUCAUACAAUACACUACAAAUUUAAAUAGUAUAAUAAAGAUUUUUCCCUUCUCAAUAAAAAUUAAAAUACCUUCAAAAGAUGCACGUGUCAAACUAAUAAAUUUUUUUUGACAAAAUAAAACCAACAAAAUAAAGAAAACUCACCAUGGAUAAUAGCAUGACAUGACAUGCAUCGUCAUUAAGGCCAUGUUUGUUUCCCGGAAAGUAGUUUUCGGGAAACUAUUUUCCAAACUUUCCUGUAUUUGUUUGUCAUUAGAAAAGUUGGUCAACGAAAAACACUUUCCAGUCAAUUUCAGUAAAAAAAAAAAAUUGACUUGGUUUUCAGGAAAGUGUUUUCCCUAACUAUGUUUGUUUUCCGGAAAGUGGUUUCCGGGAAAUCACUUUCCAAACUUUCUUGUGUUUGUUUGCCAGUAGGAAAGUUGGUCAAUGGAAAACAAUUUCCAGUAAAAGGAAAAUUUGGCUUGGUUUUCAGGAAAGUGUUUCCUGAAAAAUUUGAGGGGAAAACACUUUCCGGAAGUUGUGAAAAAUUUAGAAAUGUCAUUAUUUGCUAAUUAUAUCAAAUUUGAUCCUCAAACUUUUGAUUGCUAUAUAUAUAUAUAUAUAUAUAUAUAUAUAUAUAUAUUUUGUUUUGAAUAUUUAUUUUUCAAUUUCAUCUCUUAAAAUUUUAUUUUUAUAUUAACUUUGGUCCAUAUUUUUAUAAUUGCUAUUUGCUUUUUCCUUAUCAUUUUUUUAUUGAAAUUUUUUAUUUAUCAAAUUUGAUCCUCAUUCUUUUGAUUGUUACUUAUUUUAUUUGAAAUAAUUUAUGAAAUGUUGAUUAUUAUUAUUUUAAUUUCUUAUUUUUAAUUUUUUUUAAUUUUUUAGAUUUGAUCCCUAUUAUUUUGAUUAUUAUUUAUUUUAUUUGAGAUAAUUUAUGAAAUUAUAUUUUUUUUUUCAAUUUCAUUCUCAUUCAACUUUUUAAUUUGUAAGAUUUGUUCCUCAUUAUUUUAAUAAACUUGAGAAAAAUAAAAUAUUAAUAAGUUAUUUUCCAGCUCAUUUUCUAUGACAUAACCAAACACUGGAAAGUGUUUUCCAACUCAUUUUUCAUUACACUACCAAACAUCGGAAAAUACUUUCUCGGAAUUCACUUUCCCGGAAUUCACUUUCCAAAAAAACUAUUUUCCAGCAAACAAACAGAGCCUAAUGAUGUCUUGUUUCACACGCGUGCAAACACGCGCUAGAUAGUUUCCUUGUUCUAUUUUCGUUUCAGUGUUCUUAAAUCAGCCAAAUUAAGGAAAGAAAAAGAUAAGGAUAAAUAAUGGGAGAAAAAGAGGGAAAAAAAAUUGCCGGGAGAUUCCAAGCCAUUUUCAGAUAACAAACUUGUUCAUCGCAGGUGGGCAUCUUUCUCUUGAUUUAAGCCUUUGUUGCAGGCCAAUGACACUAGGCUUGGCCGGUGCUCCGAUGGGCUUGAACAUUGGUGGUUGCGAUGAUGAGAUCAAUGAAAAGUAGCAUGUAUUCGCCACCGCAGCCAAUAAACAAUGCAAGCACAAAUGCCCAUCCUGAAAUUCUCCAGUCCAUCAACCCUACAGUUAAUCCAAUCCAUUGAUUUGGCCAGUUUUUUUAUUUCCUUCAAAGCGGCUCUCGUUGAUGAUUUCUUUUGCUUUUUCUCAAUUUCACUAACACAAGGAAUUACAAGUUUUUUUAUGGAAUAUCUCUGUCUCUUUGCACCUUGAUUUCAACAGCGAGGGUUGUUUUUCAUAGAAACAUCAUCUGGGGCAUGAUCAGACCCUUUCAGAUUUGAAUCAGAAAUCGUAAAUUCUUAGCAACCACUUCCGUUGACAGAUUGAGGAUUGGACGAACAAGAAUCUUCUGUUUCUUGAUUAGCAACUUCACUAAAUGCAGCGUCUGACUCUUCUGUCUGAUGAGAAGACUUGAAUCCAUCAUGUAUAAGUACUGUUUUGCUUGCUCUGCCAUUGCAGGGGCAGCACAAUUGCUUAAAACAUGCUAAAAGCACUUCCUUUUUUCCUUGAUUUAGUAGGUCUCGCAUUUGUAGAUUUAGAUGGAAAUCGACUGGUGUGAUCUGCAUGACGCGAUGCAGAUUCACUUGCACUGUUAGCUUCCUGCUGGAUUAACAAAAUGUAACCACAAUGAUGAUCGUAAAUAACAAUAGAUUGAGAUUCGUCAACAAAAAGAUAUCUUGUUUGGUCUUUUCGGUGGGAAAGAUUUAAUUCGUAUGAAGGAUUCGGAAAUCGCAUUCUUCUUUUCUGUCAACUUUGUGCCAAAAACAAUCUGAAACUGGAAGAACUAAAAAAUCUAAAAGUUAACUAGAAACCUUCCUACAUGUUCUAAGAAAGAUUUUGUGACAGGAGAAUUCUCAGUCUGUAACUUAGAAUUGAGAUCUACACUUCCUCUCCUUUAAAAUGGGAGUUUAAGAUUCAUUAAAUACAGAUGAAUGUACUACCAUAAACAUGAACCCCUAUUUGUUAUAUACAUUCAUGAACUUCGAAUAAAUAAUGAAUCUAGAAUUUUCUUAAUUAUUUCUAACAUUUUCCUUGCGUUUCAAGUUAAAAAGCAGAACCUUGUUGUUAUCAUUUUGUGAUCACUUUUAUUUGUCUGCUCAAUCAAUCAGCAAACUGAACUUGGACGUAACUUGGUGACCAUGGGCCAAGCCAUCAACAAUAGGACAGUGAAUAGAGCAAGACUAGCACAUUGAUUGAUACGUGUUAAGUCGCGGGUCAGGGCAACUCUUUUUUCAAACGCGAAAAAAAUUAUGUCUGGGCGUUGAUAACAUCUCCUAGAAAGAAAUAGAUUUUAAAUAUGAAUUCAGAAGAAGUUGCAUGUUGAAUGAUAUGAUAGAAACACAGUGGAUGUAGUUAAAUUGAUCUAGUUAAUAUAUUAAAUUUUAAAAAAUAAUUUAAAAAGAAAUAAAUUUAAAAAAUUUAAUCAUCAAUUAAUUCAAUGAUGAAAAAUUAAAUUAGUAAAAAUAGAAUACCCAAUUACAUAAAACAAAAAAAAAACAAGUGAAUUUAAGUUAAUCAAGCAAGCUCACGAUGCAUAGUCAUGCAUUUCCUUUAAUUAAAUAAUUUUUUUAUUCUAAAAAUAAUGUUUUGUUUAAUUAUACGAUAAUAUAACACAUGAGAGUUUUUCUGUAUCAAAUAUUCUUUUUUAAAAGAAAAAAAAAAACACGAUAGAUAUGUGAGUCUAAGAUAACAAAGUGUCAAAUUUUUUUUUUUAAUUUUGAGAUAAAUAAAAAAAAUAGAUCAUCAAUAGCAAAAAGGUGAAAUUGAAUUUAAAAAAAAAAAAAACAAUUGAGGGACAAAAAAUUCAUCAAAAAAAAAAUAAUAGUUAGGAUGUUGUGGAUUUACAUCAUUAAACUUACAGCAUGACUCAUAGACUCAACUAGGUCGAAUGAUUUUUCUUAUUAAUUUUUUCACCCCAAUAUAAAUAACAAAAAAAAAUAUGACCAAAAAAAAUAAAAAGCAGGCGUGUGUGGGCAUGGUGCCCUAGCAUGCCUGGCCUUUUUACAAAAAGAGCUUGGACACAUGAGCCUUCUAGCCAGCACGUGCACUUAGGCCUGACUUUAUAUUUUUUUUUAUUUUUUAAAAGAUAGAUAACUAUUUUGUAAAAUAAAAAAAAAGAUGAUAAUGCGUCUUCUAGUGUUUAUUGAAGCAAACACCAAAGGUUGCUGGAAAAGUGGAGCUUUAGUUUUUUUUGCUUAAAAAAUUAUUUUCAUCUUGUUUUUUACCUAAAAAAUCAUAAACAACUUGAUAAAUCUAUUGAUGGCCUCAAACAACCUAAAACAAUAACUAAAAAAAUUUUAAAAUCAACCUAAACUUAAAAUUUUUUUCCAUGGGCAAAUCUUCCUCUUUGGGAAAGGAGAAGAAAAAAUAACAUUUAGAUGAAAAUGCUCUUAUCAAAUUAAACACAUUGAGACUAGGAUUAUCUAUUUUUAUGGUCAAAAUCAGUAUCAAUAAUAACUCUCUCUCUCUACACUAGAAUAUGACGACUCUCUCUCUUUUCUCUCAUAAAAAUAAGAAUAAAAAAUAUAAAAAAUAAAGCUUGGUAUUAAAAUUAAAUUUUUAAAAACUAAAGGAAUCAAUUAUAUAUAUUAACUGAAAAGAAUAGGGAAUUAAACCAAACUUUUCAUAAAAAAUUUGAAAUUACCAUCUAUUUUAUCCGUGUUUUUCACUUUGAUCUUGUAUCUUUAUUUCUCUCUUUAUUCAAAAAAGAGUUCAAUUGUGUAAAAAGAAAAUUAGAAAAAGAUUUAGGAAAAAUUAACUAAUUCAAUAUACAGUGAUUUGUGAGAGAUUGCUUGGUGUAAAGGGAACAAAAAGGAUCUCACAGCUUAGUUUUUUUAUAAUAUAAUUAGAACAGCAAUUUUGAGCAUGAAAUUGAAACAGUGGAAGAAAUCCUAAAGGUAUGUAAUUUGCAGAAUUGCGUAAAAUUUGGGCACCUAAUUAAUACGCGGUAGAUUGAAUGGGAGAAGGUAGAAGAUUGUCUCCCAGCAUAGAAAAGCUCAAGACAAGCAAUUCAAGCUUCUUUCUGCUACUUUUAGCAGCGCUUGAAAAAUGACAGGAAGAUGUGGAAAUUUCUUUGGGAAAACCUGAAACAUGAAUUAACAAAUUAUCAAAAAUUAUUCUUCAAAGUAAAGGAGAUGAUAAGGGUGACCAAAGCUUUGAAAAUGAUAACCCGACAUCCAUGACCUUUCAAGGAUGAGUUCACAGAAGUAUCUUUGGAAGAAAACGAUUUACUAUAUGCUUCCUCUUCGAUGAAUUUCAAUAAUUACUAGCCAUUCAACAGCAACAUGGUUGUUAAAAGAGUUUCAAGGUAAAUUGAUCAUAUAUUUUAGAAACUACAUGCAAAACAAAGCUAGCUGCAUCAUCAGGGCAUUAUACAGUCACGACCCUGUGAGUUCUGUAAGGGAGAGUAUAGAAGCCAUACUAUAGUUCAAGAAAAGAAAAUAAAAACAUUAUUGGGCAAUGAAUACUCACAAACCAAGACCUCCAACCUUGUAAACCAGUCCUGAAAUGGUGAAACCCUUGCAAUUUUUGACUGGGAAAGCUUGAUGUAUGGAAUCUCAAUACAGGCAGAGAUACCUCUCCACUAAAAAGAGCGGGAUCAUAGCAAAAUCAUCUGAAUAAACUCAGACAGUGUUUUCACAUUAGAAACACAAGACUACUUCACAAUAUGCUCCAGCAAAGGAGCUUCCACAACUUCCUCCACUGUUCUUUAAUGUCUCAAUAUAAACUGGGUUUCUAUUGAGUUGCUGAAGUGUGAGUACAGAUGUUAGGCUAGCAGCGAAACUUUAAGAAAUGACUAGCACAACAGAGCGUCAUGCUGCCAUCACCAUUGGAGACCAGUUUCUGUGUAAUCAUCACCAUUGGCAAGAACCUCAUCGGAGUUUUUUGUCCGUCAGCAAUUCUACUGACAGUUCCCAUCGGCAAUUUCAUUGUCAUUUUUUCGUUGAUGAUUCAAUCAUUAAGUUGCUAGAAAUACCGACAGAAUCACCUACGGAAAUUCUAUCGGUGAUUUUCAAUUUAUAAUUAAACAGAUAAUAGUUUGCUAUGUACUACAAUAACGCGCAGAAUGUCUCGCUACAGAACUAACUGGCCUAAGCACUAGACAAACAAUCUUUUUACGAAAUUAUUGUUAUAAAUAAAAAUUUCUCUUUCUCAUGGAUAUUAAAGAAUUGCAAUAAAUAAAAACGAGUACAUAAAACAGUCCCACUACGCCAUUGAGCCAUUGAAAUUCAAUCAGCAAAAGUAGCUUCCAUAUUGGUUUUGGAUUAUAUCAAAAUUCUUCUGGCAGUGCAGUUGGUUUCCAUGUAAAUGAGUCGCAGGCUCCACAGAGAAACUACCAUACAAAAAUAGUUAAACAAACUUACACAUGAUAUACCUUCUUCCAAUUGUGUUUUGCCAUAACUUCAUAGAGAUUGAUAGUGCCAACCAGAUUAUUGUCCCCAACUGCCUUGAGACCAGAAAAAUGGAUCACAGCAUCAAACCUGUCACAUUUGUAGAUAUAUAAGCCAUCUCCAGUUAUGAAAAGACAUGAUCUAGCUCGACAGUUGCUAAAUAAAACUUUAUUUAAUAAUCAUCUAAGAAAUGAUUUAACAUAUAACACUCCAAGAAUCUUAAUUAACAUUUCACCAUUAGUAAUCUAGUCACAAAUAGAACCCCAUCUAAUUUACAAAUGAAACCCGACCACCAAUCUAGUAAAGUAUCCAGAUUCAAGAUUUACCAAUCUAGUAAAGUAAAAUUACGUACAUUGGCAAGUUAAAAAUCAUCAAAAGGGCAAAAGGGUAUCAGAAAUUCACUUACUUAAUUCUUGAAAACAACUACUCCAAAUCACCCUUCUUUCUAAGAUCACCCUGCAAAAAAAAAAAAAAAAAUAUUCCCCAGAAUCCAUUUUCUCCAUCCAACAGAAAAGGAGUAUUAUUACUCGUCAAUGAAAAGAAAAGGCGUAAACUUCACCAGAUUAAAUUCAAGAUUCUUAGAAAGCUGAGGACCCACCAAUUCCUUAACACAAUCAACAGCUUCAGUAACACAAUUAUCAUGAUUGUCAAUGAUUGAAACCUUAAAACCUUCAUUUAGAAGCUGUACUACUGUACGAGUGCCCAAAAAUCCAGCCCCGCCAGUCACAAGAAUUGUUUGUCCAACCAUUGCAUUUAACAAAACUUGAUAUAAGAACAAGAUACCCCAACAGAGAGAUAAAGAGACAACUUGAGAAAGAUUAAAGCUAUUAAAAGGAGGAGUUUGAGCCAAAAAAGGGAGGGUGUAACUUUGGUAUUUAUAAGAGAAGGAUCAUUUAUGGGCAUGGCAGCGUUCAAAAACAGAAUAAAGCGUCAUCAAUAAGAAAUGGAACCUAAUGGAAUGAUAUAAUCGUAAUUGAUGGAUCUAUUAACUUAAACUACCCUAAGUUCAUGAACAUAUAACACUCAGUUAAUGUAAAACAACAGGUUCAAGGCUGAGAUUGAAAAGACUAGCCUUUGGUCUUUUUGUAACAUUACUUCAUGAAUUCAAGAAUAUGCAACCAUUCAUUUCACAUCUGCUAUAAAAUUUUACGCAAGCAAAUCCUAUCCACACCACCAAUACACCAAUCAUUAGAAAAACAGAGAGAGCUUCAAUAAACAGCUUUCAUAACAGGUUUUAGCUAGAUACGGAAUAAAAUUAGCUCAUUAUUUAAACAGAAACAUAAAAAAGCCAAUUCAAUUUAAGUUUCCAAACAAACAUAUAUACUAAAAUAUAAAAAUAGCAAUUAGUUCAAUUGAAAUUAAAAUUUUCUCAGUAACCAAACCAGAGACAAAAACCUAGGCGAUAUUAUUUAUUUAGUAACAAUAAAUAAUAAUAAAGUAACUUGACUCCAAAAUCGGAGACCGAGUUCUCCGGAAAAGUCUCGUCACUGAGCUUGCGCUUGAGAGGAUUUGAAGACGGAUGCCGCGGAGGCAAGGGACUCUUCAACUUGGCUGGGGUCGUAGACAGCGAAGGCUAGCGAGUGCUAGGGUGUCACACGCAGCAGCUUUGGAUGGAACAGCAGGAGGAGGAGAAGACGACGUUAUAGUUUAAAUUCAAAUAAUAUGACCGUUGCAUGAAUUGACACAAUACGCACCGUUUAACUACAAUCCCUACGCACCGUUUAGCUGUCUUCUAGAUGCUGAUAAAAGACAAAGGCAGUUAAUUAUAAUUCCUCAAUUAUGGGAAUAGCAGUGCUUGUUCUGCUAUAUAUUUCUAUCACACUUGUAGCGUACGGUUUGGUGACUGCUCAUUGCGUGCUGCUGCUUCUCUCAAGAUCGGGUUCCUAGGGUUUAGAAAUAAAGUGUUUCAUUGCUAAAUUUCUAGAUAAAGAAAUUGAGAGAGAGUGGGUGAGAGUUCUGGUUUUUGAAAAGAGAGAGGGUAAGGUAUGGCAGAGUAGCAAGAGAGGAGGAAAGGCAUAAGAAGGGGGAGGGAAGUAUAGGGUUUAGAAAGAGGAGACCUGAAGCGAGAAGAAUAUAGAGAAAGCGGAGAGCAUGAGGAUGCCUAAAUAACGUUUUCUUUAAAUAUAGACGACGGAAAUUCCAUCACGUUACAAAUGCCGAUGAGGUUUUUGUUAUUAUUAUUAUUUUAUUUUUAUUCCAUCAUGCAUUGUUUCCGUAGAAAAUUGCCAACAAAAAAUUUUUCAUCGCAAUUAUCAUUAAUAAAUUGCAAUAUAAUAUUUUUUUGAUCAGUGUUUCCUAGGGGUGAGCAAAAAAAUCGAGAAAUCGAGAAAUCGAGGAAACCGAGUAAACCGAGAAAAAAACAACCAAAAAAACCGAACCGAAAAAAAAACCGAUUAAAACCGAUUAUUUUUUUUGUUAAAAUUUUCGGUUCGGUAUCGGUUUACGAAAUCGGAAACCGGAAAAACCCCAACCGAACCGAACCAGUUCGGUUUAAGGGGUACUAUAAAUACGAAAAAAAAAAAACACUUUCUAAUUCCUGAAACCUAAUUAACUAAAAACCCUAGAUACUUUUCUCUCCAGCGCCGCUCCCUCAAUCCUCACAGUCGCGCUCACAUAAUCCACACUUUCACUCACUCUGUAACAAAAUCCAGUUCUCUAGCACUCUCUCUUCGGUGUGAAUAAGAAAGUGUCAAGUGAUGGAGGUGUGGCUAGCUUGCUGAAUCGCCUCCUCGUACUGCUAAUCUUCUUCCUGCUAACUCAUUUCUCUUUCGACCGGAACUCCUUAAUCAGUUAAUCCGGAAGUUCCCCAGAGUUCUUCCUUUUAAGAGGGUUGGCGCAAACAAAAGCAGCAGAUAUUGAAACUAAUAGCAAAGAAGGCUAGGCUCCUCGAACCAGAUUCUCUCCGAUCUUCUACCGUAAUUCGCUAAUCUCGAUGAAAGAGCAGGUAACUACAUAAGGCAGCUUUCCCCGCUCUGUCUUGUCUCGAUACGAGAAGGGCUGGUGCUAGAAUACUAAUUACUAUUGCAGCUCUCGGGUCUACUCUCCCUUCCACUCCAGCCUUACCUUAAAGACCUGGUUUCGUCUGGUAAGCGAGCUCUACUAUAUAUAAUAUAGAUACUGCCCUCUGCUGUUAGUGCUUUCGUUUGGUUGUCCUCAUCUUCGAUUCUUCAUUUCUCUUUUUAAUUCCUCAAUCUUGGCUCCUUUCUGUUCACCACUUCACCUCUUAUGUUCAAAAGUUGCUGCUGCUGUUUUGGUUUUAAUGUUGCUCGCUUUCUCUUCAGCGUCUUCUUUGGUUGAUCUUGGUCGUUCGGUUUAGACUCAUCUUCGUCGUCGAUUGCCAUCCCUCCCUCUUUCACACCAGGUAUGAAUUUUUUUUUUUCCUAUCAAUCUCCCUUUUUUUUUAACAUAUGCUUUGUGAUUCUGUGUAUUUGUUGGUAUAUCCUUAAAAAAAAAAAUCAAACUUUGAGCAUUCUGUGUAUUUUUUGUUGAUUUUAUAACCAUGCCAUUUUUCCUAUUAUUUUUUCAAAUUGUGCUACCUUGUCAUUUGUUCUUGUUGUGUGACGAAAAAAAACUGUGUUUGAAGGGAAAACAUGAUCAACCCGCGGGCUGGUUUGAGACCAUAAAGUCUGUUCUGUUGCUGGCUGAAGUUUCCUUUCACAUCCGAAAUUGAAUAUUGUCCUAACUUGCACAGGUAUGAUUUCUUUUUUCUGUCAAUCUCUAUUUGUAUUUUAUUUUUUUUAUUUAAUUUCUUGGUUCUUUUAGUUUGUUUUUGUAUUUCGGUUUCCUGUUCUUUUUUUAGUUUCAUGUUGUUCCCUUUACUAUGUUUCGGCUUUGUCCUUCUAUGUUGUAGCUUAAGUGCUUUUAUGAGAUUAAGAUAUGCAGGAAGAAUUUUAAGUUUUUAAUUGUUAAUAAAAAAUAAAUUUUUUGGACAUCCUUUGUGAAUCUGUGAUGGAUGAGUGACAUAAAGAACUGAGGCCAACUUCUUGCAAUGACCCUUUCAUUGUUUACACAGUUGUGCAAACUGCAAAUGAAGAGGUUCCUAUUUAAUCAGCUAGGAAUGAACUGUUUUAGUUAUGCAAUCCAUGAGGCAUGAAUCAUUUUUAUUGAAAGCCAAGUUGUUAAUCCAGGAAAGUAUCAAACAGAGUUGUCAGGGGUGUGUGGCAUAUGAAAUUAAAUAAAUUUUAUGUUCAAUGAAUCAAACAAUUCAGGAUAACCUCUCUAGUUAUUCACAAUCUUGAAGAAUUAUGUGGUUUCCAUGUUAUGGCCAAACAUUAUCUGCGUUGCAACCAAUUGAACCUGUGCAAUUGCGGUACAUAUUUUGUCAUCUUUACAAUUGCAUCUUUUGGGUUGUUUGUUGCAGCAGUGUGUUACUUUUUUUAUGUGUAUUUGUUUUUUUUUUUAGAAAGACCUUGUUUAUCCUUGUUAAUUUUAAGAACAACACAGCUUUUAUUGAACAAAUUAUUGUCCAGUCAAUUCUGCUGCAAGCAUAAAUGCUACUGUGAAAUCCCUAAAUUCAUUUCUAUAAUUAUGAUUUCACUACACUUUCAGUUAUUUAUAUAUUGAACAUGUUUCUGGAUAGAUAUAAGAUAUACCACCCUGUGACAGAAUCUGGGAGUUGCAUAACGUUUUUUUUUGUUGUUGUUUCUUGAUUGUUUGUUGAUUUCUCAUCAUAUAUCUCUUCACAACAUUGAAACUGCUAUUGGAUUUUUUUGGUUGCUAUUUUAGUACAUUUAAAUCUAUUAUAGAUUAUGGGUUUUUAACAUGUUUUCAUUAUAUAAUAACAGAUGGAAACUACUCAAAUUCAAAAUGCUUCAUCCACGGGUACUACACCAACAUCAAACACUUCUCCAACUUCAAAAACUAACCCAGAAUCAACCAAUGCAGGAUCCACCACAGAUACAAAAGGUAAACAACCUCAAGUCCUUACAUCUAGGAAAAGAAAUGUUGAAGAUAGAAAAAAGUCACAAAUUUGGGAUCACUUUACAAAACUUGAUGUUGAUCCUAAAGCCCCUAGAGCUGAAUGUAAUUAUUGUGGAAAAAGUUAUGCAUGUCACACUAUUGUUAAUGGCACAAGUAAUAUGUGGAGUCAUUUAAAAGUGUGCAAGAAGUUUCCUUUUGUGGUUGAUAAGAAACAAAAGGUUUUGGUGUUAGAACCUAAGAUAGAGAAGGGUGAAUUGGGAGAACAAAAUGUGGGAAGUCUUAAGGCAAUAGGUUAUAAUUAUGAUGAAUGUAGACAAGCACUAGCAAAGAUGGUUAUAAUUGAUGAGUUGCCUUUUAAUUUUGUGGAGGGUCGUGGAUUUAAAUUGUUUGCUAGGACUAUGCAACCUAGAUUUGACAUUCCUUCUCGUUUUACAAUUAUGAGAGAUUGUUUGAAACUUUAUGUUGAAGAGAAGGAUAGAUUGAGGAUAGCUCUUAGGGUCAACGAUUGUGCUUACAACAGAUACAUGGACAUCAAUCCAAAUAUUAAUUAUAUGUGUUUAACAGCUCAUUGGAUUGAUAAUGACUGGAAUUUGCAUAAAAGAAUUCUUAAUUUUUGUCAAGUUUCCAAUCAUAUGGGUGAGACAAUUGGCCAAGUUAUUGAGAAUUGUUUGUUGGAGUGGGGGAUUGAUAAACUGUUGACUAUUACAUUAGACAAUGCAAGCUCUAAUAAUGUGACCAUUUCAUAUUUAAAGAAUGUGAUGAAAGAUUGGCCAACUAAUAUAUUGUCAAAUGAGCACUUGCAUGUUAGAUGUUGUGCACACAUUGUAAACCUCAUUGUGUGUGAUGGCUUGAAAGAGAUUAAUGUUUCAGUUGUUAAGAUUCGAAAUGCCAUUAGGUUUGUGAGAUCUUCACCUCAAGGCAUCUUGCAUUUAAGAAGUGGGCUGAAAAAAUAUUGAGUCAUUGUGUUUAGAUGUUGCAACUCGAUGGAAUUCAACUUAUCUUAUGCUAGAAGCUGCUGAAAAGUUUGAAAAGGUGUUUGUGAGGUUAGGUGAAAAAGAACCUAGGUAUAUGAGUUACUUUUUGGAGGUUGAUUCAAAGGGGAAUAAAAAAAACAUAGGGCCACCUGGUUUGGAGGAUUGGGAAAAUGCAAGAACUUUGGUUAAGUUCUUAAAGAUCUUUUAUAUGGUUACAUUGAGAUUUUCUGGCUCAUUGCAUGUCACAUCAAAUUCUUUCUUCAAUGAAUUGAUUUACAUGCAUACAAACUUGUUGCAAUUGUGUAAAAGUAAAGAUAGUAUUUUAAGUGGAAUGGCGAUGAAUAUGAUGUUAAAGUUUGAGAAGUAUUGGGGUUGUGAAGUAAAUCAGAAUUUUUGUUAUAUGCUAAUGUCUUAGAUCCACGUUUGAAGUUGAAAUAUGUGAAAUUUUGUUUUGGUGAUUUGUAUGAUUAUGACAAAGCACAAUUGCUAACAAAUAAGGUGAAAGAUACUUUGGUGAGCUUGUAUGAGUUUUAUUUGAAAAUUGAUGAAGUGGUGGAUAAUAAUAGGCAUAAACAGGAUGUUAAUGCUAUUGAUGAUGUGGAGGUAGAUGUUAACACUUUGGCUCGAUUCAAAAGACAUUUGCAGGAGGAGGAUAGUGUGGAAAAUAAAAAUGAGGUUGAGAGGUAUUUGAUUGAGGGUUGUGAGGAUCCUAAUGAUGAUAAGUUAGAUAUUUUGGUUGGUGGAAAAGUAAUGCUUUGAAAUAUAAGACACUUUCAAAGGUUGCACAACAUGUUCUGGCUAUUCCUAUAUCCACAGUGGCUUCUGAAUCAGCAUUUAGCACAGGUGGUCGUGUACUUGAUCAAUUUCGAAGUUCUCUAUCUCCAGCAACUGUUCAAGCACUCAUUUGUUGUCAAAAUUGGUUGCAUCAUGGAUCAAUUUCAACUGAUAUUAGAAGCUUGAUAAAUGAUCUUGAAACCUACGAAAACCUUGAGUCAGGUAAUUUUUUUUUUAUAAACUUGCACCUUUUAUUUUGUAAUUUAUUAAUUAAAUUGUUUGCAAUCAUCUAACAUGUCUAAUUUUUUAUUUUGUAGAAUUUGGUGGAAAGUUACAUUUAGUAACGGAUGAUAAUUAGUCCAAAAGUUUGAUGGUAAAAAACUACUUUUUAUUUUUACAUAUUCUAAUUUAUUUUAUCAUGUUAUAAUUUUAGAUCUUGAUUUUCAGGUUUUGAUGUCAAUGGUGUCACGGAAUCAAAGUGCAAUGUUCUUAUCAUCUUGAUGUGCUUUUUGAUUGUGAUGAUGUGAACAAUGAAGAUUUAUAUUUUUUGCAUGAAGUGUUUUAUUUUUUAUGACAAUGUUAUUUGUUGUUUGUUUUUUAAACCCUUUUGAAGGCAAUGCUUUGUAAUUUUAAUUUUAAUUUGGUGUGUGUGUGUGUGUGUUAAUUAAACUUUGAUGUAUUAGGAGUCCAAACUCCAAAACACAAAUAUUAGAAAGACUUGAAACAUAUUAAACACAAUAUUAACACUAAUAAUUUAAUAUAAAUUAAUAUUUAGUGACAAAAAAAUAUUAAAUAUAUUAUAGAAUUUUGUAACAAAAUUAGAUAAUAUUUACAUUAAUUAUAAGCCUAUUAGAAAGCCCAAAAAAGCCCAAAAAAGCCCAAAAAACAAUAAAACAGGUUUUUCGGUUUUUCUGUUAAAAAACCGAACGAACCGAACCGAAACCGGUCGGUUUGAACCGGUUUCGGUUUAAUUUUUAAGUUUUUUAAAAUUUGAUUUUGGUUAGUUUUUUAGAUAAAAACCGAACCGAACCGGUUUUGCUCACCCCUAGUGUUUCCGUUGGUUUUUACUAAUUUUCUAGUAGUGUUUAAGAGAAGUUAAAAAAAAAAAAAAAAAAAAACUAAGUAAGAGUUGACGAAGAAAAGAGAAAAGCUAAAGAAGAAAACAGAGAGAGAUAGGAUGAGAAAAAGUUUGGAACUCUACAAAUAUUAUUAAUUUAUCAAAAACUUACCAAAAUGUCAAAAAUUAUGUAUAAAAUGUAAAAUCAUAAUACAACCAACGAUUUUGCUUUUAAACCAUUAAAUAAAAUUAUCCAACUAAAAAACAUAAGUAAAGACUAAUUAAUAAACAAAAUAAAAAUACAAUAAUAUAGGCUCAGACAUGCUCAAUUUCCCAACCAAAAAGUGACGGGUUGGGCUAUCUUUCAGGGUUAUACCGAUCAAUGUCCAAUAGUAGAUGAAGAAUUUAAUGCAGAUGUGGCUAGGUUUUUUUAUCUUUUAAAAGACUCUAACGAACCAUUAUGUGAUAGGUGCACAAAUUACAAUAAAUUAUUGAUCGUUAUACAAGUGUUCACCCUCAAGUCAGAUCAUAGGUUAAGUAAGGCCAGUUACGAUAGAAUUGUUGAAUAGGUGAAAAACAUUUUACCUAAAAGAAAUAGGCUAAAAGAAAACUUUUAUGUUGCUAAAUCAUGAUGAAACCCCUCGGUCUGGAAUACUAGAAAAUUGAUAUGUGUUUAAACUUCUACAUCUUGUACUACCUUGAAAAUACAAAAUUGACCGAGUGCAUAACAUGUGGGCAUACUUAUUAUUAACUUAGAACUAGUGGGGGAAGCACUUUUGUUGCACAUAGAAUACUUAGAUAUUUCUCAAUCAUACCUAUACUGCAUAAAUUAUUCAUGUCAUCAAAGAUUGUUGAGCACAUGACAUAGCACCAAUCACAUGAUAUGAUGAAUUGAGUAAUGGUGCAACCUUUUGAUGGUGAAGCCUGCAAACACUUUAACAUUGUGCAUCCUUAGUGUUCAAUGGAGAUAAGGAACGUAUGUCUUGGGUUAUGUACAAACAAUUUCAAUCCAUUCAGGUCAUUUGCUACUCCUUACUCUUGUUGGCUGGUAAUACUUACAGUUUACAACUUGUUAUUGGGAUUAUGUAUGAGACCGCAAUUUAUGUUUUUAUCUAUAGUCAUACUCGAUCUUAAUUGUUUAGGUCGAAAUAUAGAUGUUUGUCUUUGACCAUUGAUUAAUAAGUGUAAGCAGUUGUGGUCAUUUAGGGCUUUAACUUAUAAUGUUUCGAGGAAACAUAAUUUUAUGAUGAAGACAACUUUGAUAUGAACUAUCAAUAAUUUUCCAGCUUAUGGAAUGAUUUCUGAUUGGAGCACACAUAAAAAACUAACAUAUUCAUAUUGUAUGGAAAAUAGCAAGGCAUUCACGCAAACAAUAGUAAAAUAUCUUUUUUUUACUACCAUCGGCGAUUCUUGCCAAUGGAUCACAAGUAUAGAAAGGACUUUUUUAUUGGCAGAGAUGAAAAGGAUAAUGCAUCGCAACUAUCAUUAGAGUAUGAUGAGAUUAUGUUUGAUUUUCAAUAUGGUAAACAAAAGUUUCUUAGUUUUGGUUUGACUUAUAAUUAGAUAAAGCAAAGUAUUUUUUGGGAGUUUCUUUAUUAGAAGACCAAUCACCUCCAUCAUAAUUUUAAUUUCAUGCACGUUGAAAAAAACGUGUUUGAAAAUAUUUUCAACAUGGUUAUAGACAUGAAAAGAAAGAUAAAGAACAACAUCAAGGCUAGAAUGGAUAUAUUUUUUUUUAUGUCACCGUAAAAAUCUGGAGUUAGUUUAUGAUGAAUCAUAAAUCGCAGAGUCCAAAGCCAGCUUUACCUUAGACAAGAAUACACAGUUACUUAUCUACAACUAGCUUAAGAGUAUCUAUUUUUCUAAUAGACAUGCUUCGAACAUAUCAAGGUUGGUGAGUUUAGAGGAUUGCAGAUUGUAUAGAAUGAAAAGUCAUGAUUGCCACGUGUAUAUGCAAACACUCGUUCCAUUAGCUUAUUAGGAUUUAUUGUGAAAAUGGAUAUUGGAUGCACUCACGAAAAUUAAUCACUUCUUUAGAAAUAUAUGCUCUAACAAGUUGCAGGCAUAACACAUGGGGAGGCUUGAAAUGAAUAUUGUCCAGACAAUUUGCAAAGUUGAGAUAAUAUUUUCUCUAUUAUUUUUCGACUCAAUGGAGCAUUUACCCAUACAUUUACAUUUACAAUUUAAGGCAAAAAUUAGUUUAAUAUAAAUAGAUAUAUUUAUUCAAGAGGUUAGGGAUUAUAUAUUUAUUGUAAUUAGAAUUUUAUUAUUUAAAAAAAUUCAAAUCAUUCAUUUAAUUCUGAAAUAAAGCAAUGUUGAAUGUUGUGAAUGACUGAAUAACCAAGCUCUAUCCACCGUCUCAGGUUUGUCAUCCCCCAACAUUCGGAGACCUGGCUCUUUCUGUGGUUGAGAAAACUCAGCAUAUGUACAACGAUUGGCCACAAUAUCUAUGUCUCCAACUAAUGCGCAAAACUAUUUCUCAAAUGAAAGGUAAGAAAAAAGAUACUGGUGGUGUAUAGAGUAGAACUCUAAGGAAUCAUUAUUGGCAUUGUCGGGAAAUGAAAUAAAAGAAUUUAACUAUUAAUUGAAAGCAAGUGUAUGAAAUAAAGAAACAAGAAAAUUACAUUGUAUGGAAACAAUAAAAGAAAAUUAUCGACUACAUCAGAAGAAGAAAUCAAAAUAUAAAGGCUUCAUAAAUAUAAAGGAUGUAAUCAAAUGGGGCUAGAAAAGAAAAGGCAAGCUCUUUGAGAUUUCUAGCAGAAAUUCAUACAAUAAUCACAGUUCCACUUGCGUAGGAUCCUGUGAUAGUAAGAAAUUUUGGCCAGACAAACAAACAAUACCUCACCUUGAAGAUAAACUUGCUACUAUCACAGAAGUAGCAUAUUUUUUGUUUGUUCUUGCAUUUUAAAAAAAUAUUAAAAUUUUUAUAUUUUUAUAUUAAUUUUAAAUUAAUAUAUUUUUAGUGUUUUCAAAUUAUUUUAAUGUGCUAAUGUAAAAAAUAAUUUUAAAAAAAUAAAAAAAAUAUUAUUUGCAUGUAUUUUAACACGAAAAAUUAUUUAAAAAUUAACCACAACCACAAGUUUUUAUGGAAUGAAGAUAUAUGACAAAUCAUAUGGUAAGAACUUCAGUGUAGCCUUGAAGACGGAUUCUGUAAAUCAUUCACACUCAUAUUGCUCCUGGACCAACAUAUCUAACAUCUACAAGACGCAGGUCUACCUUCAGGAAGUUGCAAACAUCAGUAGAGACCAUCUUCCAGGCAGCGACCAAGUGGCUUCUAGCAUACAUGGUUGUCCUAAAACUCUCGUCAGCAAAUUUCAAUUGCUAUCCAGAACAUUCUCUAGGAAAAACAAUUCCUAACUCCAGUACUAGAGUUCUCUAUAACUUUUGCAACAGCUUUGUCUAUACCAAAAAUACAAGUUGGAUUCUGUCAUUCAUUUCCAAACUUCUUCACUUGCAUGAACCAUUGCUCAUUUGCUAACUGUGGUGAGCACCGACCACAACCAUCGCUCAAGGUAAACAUGCUCACAAUUAUGCUUGAUGACACAGAAAUAUUACCAAAACAGAGAUCUGCAGAUGGCAGAACAGCAACAGUGUGCAGUAGAGGAUUUACUUUACAGCAUAUAUAGAAGUAGAGGAGAAUUUCAAGAUCACUUGUAACCCUCUCAGAGAAGAUAUAAGAAGCCAGUGAAGAAAAAAGAUUUCAAGGAAUACAAGAUAAAAUAUAUGAGAGAUUAGUUUAGAAAUUAGCUAAAGCUAAUUUCCACUUACAACAAUCAAUAAUGAUAAUUGAAAAGCUUCAUAACUUACAGCAAUUAUAUUUUUUUUAAUAUUUCUAAACUCUAACCCCAAAAGCAAUGUUCUUACAGAAACUAUUCAUACAAAGAUCACAACGAUCGUAUGGAUAACAAAACCAAAUAACUGAAGAAAAGACCCAAAAACAUAGGUUGAGAUAAUGAUAAACAAGAUGAACAACAAGAUGGCGGAAAGAGGAAAUAGACUAAAAGUUACAAGUUUUGGAGGGGAAAGUUAUCCAAAAUAAACUAUUUUCCUAUAUCAGAUUGCCUGUCACAAAGUGUUAUUCAGUUGUAUGUUUUUUUCUCAGUUAAUAAUCUCACCAGACAAUGAAAUUAACAUAUUAUUGAUAAAUCAGAUGAGCGGAAAUAGUUGUGGUAUCAGUACAUAGCAUUGCUCAAACGCAUACCACAUUUGAAGUUGAAAAGAAAAUGUAAGCAAACUAUGUGACAUGAAGCUUCAAUUCUAAAAGGUACUUAAUACAAAACUUCAGAACAUAUAUUAGACUACGAUAUGUCAAAAGCUGUAUCAGCUUACGUAAAAGAGCUCUCCUUUACCUACAUCUUCAAAGUCAAAACAGACUUGAGAGCAAUUCAUCCUUCUGUUGGAACACAUUCUUCCAUUGGAUCACAUCCUUCAGCAAGAGCACGUUCUACAACUGGAACAGAUUCUUCGGCAGAAGCCUGUACUACAAAUGGAACAGAUUCUUCGGCAGGAGCAGGGGCCGGUACUACAACUGGAACAGAUUCUUCGGCAGGAGCAGGAGCCCGUACUACAACUGGAACAGGUUCUUCGGCAGGAGCAGGAGCCCGUACUACAACUGGAACAGGUUCUUCGGCAGGAGCAGGAGCCUGUACCACAACUGGAACAGGUUCUUCGGCAGGAACCUGCACUACAGCUGAUUCUUCAGCUGAAACACAUUCUUCAGUUGGAACAGAUUCUUUAGCUGUAUUGCAGUCCUCAGUGGCAACACAUUCUGACAUCUCUGACACCUUUCGCUUUCCAGGCAUUUCCUUCAGGAGAUUGAAUUUUUCUCCAACAACCAGUAACUUGUCACUCAGCAACUUAACAGUAUUCUCAUAUCCUUCAAAUUUUGGAAUGCACUCUGCUUCAAAUUCCUUAACCAACUUCUCGAGAAAUACACGGUUUAGCCUUUCUUCUUCCUCUUGCUUCAGGCGCUGCUUCUCCAACUCCAUGGUGCUCAAAACAAGACCAGCAGACCCAGUAUCCUUAUAAAUCGGUUCUUCAGGUAGUCGGCAUCUUGCUCUGUAUUCAGAAAAUGCCUUGUGUGUCUCCUUCAAUGCCUUUCUAUAGCCCUCUAAAAGAUUUCCCAUCAUAUACAGUUCACGUUCAAGCCUAUAAACCUCCAACUGGCUCUUCCGCUGCUCUUCCAUCUUGGUCUUCUGCAACUGCUGAAUGAAGUUUUCACGCUGCUGCAACUCAUUAUACAACACCUGUUGAUGCAUACUCAUUUCCUGACAUGACUGCUCCUUUUCCUCCAUCAUCAUUCUGGCUUUUCCCAUCAUAUGCUGCAUCUCCUCCUCAAAACUAUCAAAGUCCGAAUAAGGCUUUGCAUCCCAAUGCCCAUCACUCCGCAUCCUCUUAUUACCACCAUUAAGUGAGUGAUGCGGUAUAUCACUCUGAAGAUGCUCAUUCACCCUCUUGUUUCCACCAACAUUACCAAAAAUUGAAGAACCACCUGGAAUUGUCUCUGUAUCAAUCCUAGAAAUUUGAAAUUCCCUGGAAGAUACAUUAUCAUGAAUUUGGAUACCUGAACUAAAAGGAACUUGAGCUGCUCCCAUCACCUCAAGAAGAUUCUCAGAGCUUAUGCCCUCCAAAAUAUUCCCUCUGGCUGCGAUAUGGAAACCAAUAUCUUCGUCCUCAUCCCCCUCCUCUUCGUCCUCCUCCCCUUCCUCUUCCUCUCCUCCCUUCCCCUCUUCCUCUCCUUCCUCUCCUCCCUUCCCCUCUUCCUCUCCCUCCACCUCAUCCUGCUGUUUCCUCUCUUCCUCAAAUUCCAUUCCCGCAACUUCACUAAAACUACCACAUGGCAGCAGAUAAUGCCCAUCCAUACUGAUCUUUCCCCACUGACCCUGAUCUUCUUCCUCUUUCCUCUCCUCAAAAUCCAUCACAUCCUCAUCACCCAUAUUCUCCACCUCUUCCUUCCCUGCAUUAUCUAUCCCUCCAAGACUCAACUCAAUUCUAUGCUCCUCUAACACAGAUGAUUCACCCCUAAACUCCUCUUCCAUCAUCACACUCUGCUCCAUCUUCGCACCCUCAUCAUCUUCAUCAUCCUUAACAUCAAUCUCCAUUUUAAGACUUCCCUCCUUCAACAACUCCUCUCUCUGGCACUUUAUCAAACACUGCAAAUGCGACGCAUAAUAACAAUUUCCUAAACCAGGUUCUGCAUUCAACUCUUUCUCUACCAUAUACCAAAUCAUUCCAGCCCAAUCCAAUUUGUCAAAGUUCCCUUCUUUAAUCAAUUUAAUCCAGUUCAAUAUAUCUGGCGGCAUCAUCCAAGUAUCCUCAUGUAACAAAAUCCAAUUUGACACCAACUCCUCUAUAAACCCAAUUGAUUCCGCACUCUCCGUAACCUCAGAUGCACCAUCUCCUACACUACCUUUCUCUUUCUUCACCGGUAACUUCAAAGCACGCCCUAAAUCAGCACGAUUGACCAUGAUCUUAACCUCAUUAACAUAACUACCCCGCAUCGCAGGAUUAUAUCCAGCAAUCAAUUGUGCUAGCAAAUCAGCACGAAUAUUAGUAUCAAAUUGCAAAUGCACAAAUUCCCACAAACCCAAUUUUUUUAAAAGGGUUUCAUGUGAAGCGAGGUCGAGGAUUUUGUUGGGUACAAAGGGGAUUGGAUUUAGGGUUUGGCUUAAAGUUUCAAGCUUUUUUUCAGACUUUUUAACCUGUACACGACGUUUUUGGUUAGCCUUCCUGCUUUUCCGUCCACCCCCAGCACGACGGGAGGUGGUGGUGGUGGUGGUGGUGGUUGUGGUGGGAGAGAAAAGGGUGAGGUCUUCGAAGUCGUCAUGGUUUUGGUUGGUUGGGUCAUCUUCUUGUGAGUUAGGGUUCGGGAUUUCAAGGGUCAGGGUUUUGGGGAAUUGGGUAUCAUCAUCAUCAUCAUCAUCAGGUAAUGUUUGUUGAAUUUGAUCUGGGUUUGCGUUGUUAGGGUUUUGUGAGAGAGUAUUUGGGUCUGGGGUUGAAUCUUGAGGGAGAGUUGGAGACGAAGCCAUUGGAAUGGAGUCGAGCUGGUGUGCUGUGUUUUUUUUCUUUUCUGCAUAAAUUAAGGAAGCACUAAUUUACUUAAGGUUGACUAAAAAGGACUGAUUGGGAUUCAUGUUCUUUUCGGAUUUUGAUCAAACUGUUUAUACGUGGACACAUUGAGAUGAUUUGAAUCUUGAUCAAUCUUUUUGAUUAUUUAAUGUUCUUGGUAUUUUACACUAUUUACUGUAUUUUGAAACAAAAUUAUCGAUGGAUUUUUUUUAAUGGACAACUAAUUCUUCUUUUUAUUUUGGUUCAUCAAUUUAAAUUAUCUUCAAGCUAAUUUUUAUAAAUAAAAAUUAAAUUUCUGACAGUUUUUAGAUUGAUAUUAUGCAUUUAAAUAAAUAGAUUUUCAAUAUUAAAAGAAAGAAUUACAUUGAUUGAGAUUUAUAAUUUUUUAUUAUUAUUAUUAUUAUUUUGAUCUUAUGACCUAGAUUGUAGGUUUGGUAAGUUGACCCGAGUAGUUUUUUUAUUUUUUUAUAUUUUUUUAUAUUAGAUUUAAUAGGAAUUGAAAUUCAUAAUUUAUUUUGAUUUUUUUUACACAAUCUCAUGAUUCAGGUUGUAAAUUUAAUAAAUUAACUCGAGUUAAUUUAAUAUACUGCAAUCUUAAUAUUUGAAAACAAAUAUCAUUUUAUAUAUCAUCAUAUCACUGUUUAAAAUAAAUAUAUUAUUUAAUAUAAUAUAUAUAUAUAUAUAUAUUAAGUUUAUAAUUAAGAUUAUUUUUAUUAGAAAACAUAUUAUCAAUACUUGGAUCUGAUUCACAAAACAACACAAACCAAUGAUCUAAUUUCCUCUUAUAUCAAAGGGUGAUUGCUUUGGACUUACUAAAGUACAUGGACACUUUAGUUACCUUUAUCUAAAAACUAAAUGCAAGGUUAUUUUGGGCUAUUAGCAUAAAAAUCUUAAAAAUUUAGCUGCAAAAAGUAUAAGUGAAAUAAUAUAGUUUGUGUUAUUUGGGUUUCAAAACGCAACAAAUAAAGAAGUCAUAAUUGAAAAAUGUGACAUUAUAUAAAUGUCAGAUUUACAAAACAUGACUUCUUUAUAUAUUGCAUUUUGAAUAUGUGACAGCCAUCAAAACACUAACCCCAACUGACUUCUUUAUAUCUUUUCAUUAUAUAUUGCUUCUUAAAGGGAAUUGUUUACCGUAUUUGUCUUAUUUCCAACAAGUGAAGGCAGUUGGGCUGCUGCUGUUAGGAUAAUGAAAAGAUUUUAUCCUAACAUUAUGAUUAUACAUUUUUUUUUAUCUCAAUAAUCUAAAGGCUAGAACUUUUUAUCAAGUUUAUUUUCAGCAUAAAACUUUCACCUCUACAAAUUAUUUACACACUAAUGGAGAUUUAAGCUAAGUAAAAAUUAUCCAUGGCUCGUCCACUCAAGAUUAGUCCACUCAAGAUUAAUCUUCUGGUAGCGACCUAGUUCUAAUGUUGUAUAAAUUAGAUUUAUUUUCUUAUAAAAUUAAAAAUUGUAUAAAGAUUACAUUUUUUUCAGUGUUUCUUUUCUUAUAAUUUAUAUGGUUUUAAAUUAACUUGUAAUCAAAAAAAAAUUUGGAUUUUUUGUGAAUUACAUAAUAACUAUAAUUUUUGUCCUAUUUUCAUUACCUGAAAUUAAUUUUUUUUAUGACACAUUCUAUAAUCAAGAUUUCAUUCGAAUUUAGGGUGAAUUAUAGAAUAACUCCAUUUAUUUACUUGAUAACACUUGUUUAAUGGUUAUUUGGUUUGUUAAUCUUAAAAUUAUUUAGUUAAAUCCAAGAUAUCAACAAUAUUCAAAUUAAAACUAAACUAUAAAAAAUAAUCCUACUAUCUUUGUUCACAUGGCAAUAUGUAAGAUUUUGGUUUCAAAUCAUUCUACUCCAAAUUAUAUCUAGAAAAAAAAAUCGAAUCUCAACUUAAUCAACCCAAAAAAUAUUAUAUAAAAUAAUAUUACAAAUAUAAUAAAAAAAACUAAAAUUAAUUAUAAAUUCAAAAUUAACAAGAUAACACAAUAUAAAACUUAUAAUUAACAAAACAACACAACAUAAUAUAUCAAUAACACGUAAGCAAGUUUAUAUAUUUAUGCCUACAUCAUCUACGGGAAGGAUUGAGUUCAUUAAUAGCACAAUUGCCUCCUACUUAAAUGACCUUGUUCUCGACCGUGACAUCAUCAAGAGUUAAAAUCUCUUUGAAGUUCACAAGUGCAGUGCGGCAAGCACUGAACCAACAAAAAGCAUAGAUGUAUCCUUCUUUUUCUUUAUCAAGAUUAAGAAACACAUAUACGACCUCUCGACCUUUAUAUAAAAAGAAGUCAGCCUAAAAUUCAUCAAAUUAAUACAUUAAAGGUUCUAUAUAUAAAAUGCAUCAUUUAAAUUAUAUUUAUUCUAAAAAGUUAAUAUUACAUGCAAUAUUUUGAAUUCACUAUGCAUGUUGCUCAUAUUGCAAGUCUUCCAGUUGAGGAACCUAUACGGGUUCUAGUGUAAUAACUCGACAUGUCAGACCUAUAUUUUCCUUGAUAAUUUAAGGCAUGCAAUGCAUCACUCAUAUCAAUAUCACUAGAAUAUUUUGUCUAUACCUAAAUCAUUACAUUCCCAAUCAAGGCAAUAUAGCUCAACCAUCACAAAAAAAAAAUAUGGGAUCACUAUUAUCCAUAUAUCCAUCCUGCUAGUGUAAAUUGCAAGCGCAACUACUAAUUUAUCAUCUUUAUAUGGAGCCCACAUUCCCUUAAACACAGUCUUCAAACAUAAAACGAUAAUAAUUAGUAAAAUUUAAAUUGAAUUACAAAAACAAUUGCUCAACACAUACCUGGAAAGGUUGCUACCCAUCAAACUCACUCCAAUAAAAUGACAGUGCAUGUUUGAGAUUAUUAUCAAAUACCUUAAUCCCACACUAUCUAAUAUUAUAAAUCACAAGCUUACAUGCAUCCUAAUGAGAGAUGAAGUGUAACACCCAUAGUUUAGAUAGUCACAACUAGUUUCCUUAGAAUCCAGGGUUGAUCCACAUGGAGAUGAUCUCAGGACCAUAGUUGUUUCAAAAACAUAUGGGUGAUUUUUUUCUUAUUUAUUAUAAAUAGUUGAAAUGUAAAUGAAAUUUUAAGUUAUUUUAUUUGUAUUUGUAAAAAUAGCAAACAUUCCUCAACUUGUUUUGUCAUUUUCAUGAAAGCAAUGCAUAGAUAUCUAUAUAGCCAUGCCAAGAUAAUAAGAACCCCAAGUAUAUAUGGGGAUCACGUCAAAAUCCUUAAAAAAUGUUAGAUAAACAUGAGGCAUAUAUUUAUCAAUAAGAUAUGUGAAUGGAAUGUUGCCAAACAUGUGUAGUAUAUACAUCCUGGCAUACCUAUAUAAGCUUACAAUCAUGAGACUACUAUUUACAAAUACUUAAUAAACUAAAAUCACAAUUUAAUGUAUUUUUGCACAAGACCUCAUCAUCAACAUCAUUUAGUUGUAUUGAAAAUAUCACCUCAAGUCAUUUUAAGGUGUAUUUUACCACCUUUUAAUUUAGUAGAAAGGGGUGUCACUUCAAAUGUAUGCUUAUAUAGUGCAACAUGAUUAUAUGCCCCUUGAAUGUGAAUGUUCGUCCAUUGAUAAAAAAUCCAAGUAAAAUUAUCACAUCCUGCAAAGUGGAUGUCAUUUCCCCGUUCUUAAGGUGGAACAUGUACAUCUCACAUCGCUAUCUCUCAAUCAAUGCAUUGAUCGAGUUGUGAUAAAACUUGAUGUCCUCAAGAUAACAAUGAUAGUAAAGCCUGCCUAGAACAUAAAUAGCUUAAUCAGAUCUUAUCAAGAGCAAUAGUAGCACCGUAAUCAUAUAACAUAAAGAUUUUAUAAGACAUCCUACAGAAAAAAAAAAUUGAUUCCAAUCCAUCUAACAUAAAUCAAUCAAAUCCCUAAUUUUGGUAACUUAGCCAAUAGAUCAAUGCAAAGCAUGAUUGAUCAAAACUAAACCUAAUUCAUAUUAUUUUCAUGCUCAUUUGCAUGAAUUUAAACCUAAUUAUAUAAAUUCUUAGUUAAUUAACACAAAUCAAUUAAAAAUAUCCAAUUUUGACAACUAAUUUGACAAAUAAAUGCAAAGCAUAAUUGUCAAAAUAUAACCUAAUUUAUGUUAUUUUAAGUCAAUUACAUGAAAUCAACCUUAAUUAUAUAAAUUUAGAAACAUUCAAUAGAUAUGAUUCUGAAACAUAACAACCUUAAUUGUUGUGAUUCUGAAUCGUAAUAUAUACAAACUAUGUUAUUUCUUCAAUUAUUUUUCAAACUAUGAUAUUUGAUAUUUCGCUAAUACUUUUUAAUUUACUUUACUAAUUUUUUUUUUUAAAUCCAAAUCCGGGGAAAAAUGAAAGAAUUUUCUCGCCAUUAACUUAUAUUCUAAACAUCAAGUAAAGCAUUUUGUCUCUACCCCAUAUCUCCAAAAUGCAAAACGUCUUCAACCCUGCAAUGACACUACUACUUCUAAUCCAAAAAUCCAACAUCUUACAAGGACAUUUAUCAUGAAUAUUUCCACAUAAAGAAGGUUAAAAGUUGUUCUGAUAAUUCCAUAACCUAGCAUCAUUCAAAAGAAGGAUAUUGAUUUCCAGAGUUAAAUAAUUUCUAAGGGAAAGGAUUGGGGAAAAGGAUGUCCAUCCCAAUCCAGCUCUGUAGCUUUCCAGCUUCAGUCAACAGAUUCUAUCCUUGGAAAUUUAAGCAAACAAUGUGCACCCAAGUACAAAAAACCAAGUCAUAUGAAGACAUGCUCAGUCACGACUAAGAAGAUUCAGUCUUGUAGUCAUAACAGUAACAUUCAGAACCAUUGUAAAACCAAAUUUGAGUCAGAGCCAUCUCUGCAAUGAACAAGAUGAAAAAUGGAUUAAUUUUUUCCUAUCUCGGACAAUGUUGCAAAUGGUCAAUUUGCUGCUCUCUCUACCAACCAAGAUAUGAAUUUAGAAAGAUCUAUUAGCAUGUAAAUGUCAAAAACAUGGAAAAGAAACUUCUACUGGAACAAAAAUGCACACCAUUCCAGAACAAUUUUGAACGUAGGCACUUUAACUCAGAGACUUGAGUUCUUUUGAAGCAGAAUGAUGCAUUUUUUGGCAUAAUUUACAUAGCAUUUCGAGAUAAUAAAGUAGUGACAUGAAAGGCAAUCCAAAAAAUCACAACACUAGUUUUACAAGUAGUGAGUUCCUUUCAAUUUCAUAAAAGUCGUGCUCUUUCUAAUUCUUCAUAAUAUUAGUCCAUUGAUGCCAACUAAUUAUGCAAUGAUCUCAUUUACAACAAGACAAAAUACAAGACUCGACAUGGACAGGUUCAAGCCUGACAAUUCAUUCACAGAACCUAAGAUAUUCAAUUUCCCCCCGGCCUUAAAGGCCUCCUGUCCUCACUAUUACUGUUGCGAUGGGGCAUAGUAGCAAGAACAGAGACAGAAUACAAGAUAAGACUUGCUAUCCUCACUAUGUUUUUGAUACCUAGCUGUUACACGUACAGAUCACCACCAUUGCUGUCUGGUUCAAGUCUCCUUUUCAUGUUAUCCCCAAUGGUUUCAGUUCCAUAACCAUGGGUUGAACUUGGAAUUUCUACCAAACCCAUUUAAUUUUGCUAAUACAGAAAGGAAUUUUGUUCGAUCUAAUAUGAUAUUAUCAGUAUUAUUCAAAACAGAGAAGGAGAAUGAGAUGAUGUUAUAAGUUAUAACAAGAAGUUUAUGAAAACUAGCCUGAUUGAUGCCAAAAUAGAGAUGAGAGACCACAGAAGAAGGAAAGAGGCAGAUCACAGACGAAGUGAAGAAACAAAAUAGGUGUUUUGAGAAAGAGAGAGAGUGGAAUUGUUGAACAGUGGAAUCAUGUGCUAGUGCUACUUAAGAGUCUUGAGACGUAAAUGCUAAAUGCUAAUUGUAUAUUUCUUUCGAAAUUGAUAUAUCGGUCCGCGUUUAUUGCCUUGAUUGAGUUUAAUUGAGUUUGAUUAAUUUUUAAAAUUUUAAUUUAAUUUUAUAUAUUAUAUAUAUACGUUAACUUAUAAAAUUAUAUAAUUUUAUUUUAUAAGUCAAUUCGUAAUUUUAAUACCCUGAAACAAAAGAUGUAAUCAUGUGCAAACCUAGGGAGGGUCAAAGUAAUUUUCCCAUCUUAAACUUCCAACUUAGAAAAAAAAAAAAAAGGAAAAAAAACAACCAAACCUUCUAUUUUUCGAAUUGCCGACACAGUGAAUUAAGCCAAACUAAUAAUUAAUGGCUGUAAACUUUGUAAUAAUAAGUGCAGAUGCAACUGAUUGCUUAGGUAGUUAAUAUUAAUUCCUUAAACCUUUCAAAUGUGUAGUAGGAAGAGAAAGCUGCAAAACGUACAGGUUGUCGGGGGCAUAGUGAUAAAUCAAAACCAUUAGUGUUUCUCUUGGAUGAUCAAAUGGUUCCUGUGGCUUGAAAACAAAAUUGCUUUUAAAGAAGCGGAAUUUAACCAAAAAAAAACUUGAAGGAACCUGUUAUUUUUAAAGAAAGAUAAAUCUCAUUAAAAUAAAAUAUUAGAGAAUGAAAUCUAAAAAGAAAAGGAGCUUAAAAAAAGAAAUAAAAAAACAAGCAACUUCGAGUGAACUUUAUAAACCCGGGUUAUACCCUUAAACUCGUAAUCCGUUAAAUUUUUUACUUAGUCUCAACCUAAGAGCUUAACACUUAAAAACUAAAAUGUCAAAUGAUGAAAUUAAUAAAUUUAAUUCAAUUUAAAAAUAAAUUUCCUUUAAAAAAGCUAAAUUCAAUAAUAAUAAUAAUAAUAAUAAUAAGCAAGGCAACUCGUGUUAUUUUCAAAACAACUAAAAAAUCCCAUAGAAAGUGAAUUUAAAAAUAACAAAAUGCUAUAGGGUGGAAAAAAAGCUUUAAAAAAAGGGAAAAAAAAACCAAGGAAAUCCCAUGUCAACUUUGUAAAUCGAGGUUAAUUUUUUAAACUCGUAAACCGUUAAAUUCUAGACUCAGAUUCAAUUAAGAAACUAAACAUCCAACUAAAUAAAUAUUGGAAGAUGAAAUAAUAUAAAAAAUCUUGCAAGGUAAAAAAGAAUACAAUAAUAAUAAUAAAAAAAGGAUUAGAUUUGACAGGAAAAAAAACUAAAGAAUGAUAAAAUUGCAAAAACUAUUUUAAAAAAAUAAUAAUCAAAAGAAUAGGAACCAAUUUGGAUAAAUGAAAAUAUUUAUUGGGGAUGAAAUUGAAAAAAUUCUUAAUUUAAUAAAUUAUUCUAAAUAAAAAAUUGCAAUAAAGAGAACAUGGAUGAAAUUGAAAAAACCCCUUAAUUUUAUAAAAUUAUAAAUCAUAAUAAAGAAAACAUUGAUUAAAUCUUAAGUACAACAAACAUUAGAGGUUGAUUUGAUUUUUUUAAAGCCAACACCAAAAGGGAAAACAAAAACAAAAGGCCACACUUGCCCCUCCAGCCACCUUCGAGCUACACAUGCUGCCUACACAUGCUGCUUACUUGUGGAAGGGAUGUUGAGACGUUUAAUCACACCGCAUACAAGAUAACCCUAUAUAAAGAUAAUUGAAAAAAAAAAUCAUAACGCUCAAGAGUCAAUAAUUUAUUGGCAAAGGAAAAGAAUUAUAAAGAAAAAUUAUCAUUCAUACAAAAUAAAAAAUUCAAAAAUUAAAACAAUGAAGACUAAAUCUUUUACAAAAAAUAAUUCAAAGAAACUAAUUAGUGAUUAAACUUAAAACCAAAAUAAAUGAAGGAUACAAAAAGAGCAAUAAAAUAUGAAAUAAAAUUCUAAAGGAAAAAAAUAAAAGAAAUCAAUAAUUGCAAAUGAUAAAAACAAUCAAUCAAAAGAAUAAAGAUCAGAUUGAAUAAAAAAAUUAAAUGAAAUUAAAUGUUGAGGAUGAAAUUGAAAAAAAAAACUUCAAAAAAUAUUAAACUCAAAAUAAAUAGAAAAAAAAAUAAAGACCAAAUUCAAAAUAAAUAUAAAAUGGAAGACACAACUGAAUUUUUAAAAGCCUGUAUAAAUAUCAAAGCCCACGAAAAAAAAAAAAAAAAAAAGGAAAAAAAAACCAAAAGUCCUCGAACCCCCACCUUUCCUCACCAAAUGCACCAUCUUAACAUCUGCGUUGCCACCUUACAUGUUGAAUGAGAUAGCAAUUGACAUUUUGUGGCCAACAACGUGUGUAAGCCUAUUUUAUUAAUUUAUUAAUAUUGUAAUAAUAUAACUUACUAAAAUGGCCCUAAGAGCAUAUUAAUAUUAAAAAAAAAGUCAUGCAACAAAGACGAAAAUAUCCUCAAAAGGCAGCCUUAGUUUUUUCUGAGUGAGAGCUUCUAAAGAAAAAACUAAUUUUGUGUGAACUUCCAAGGGUACCAAUGUAAUUUUAUUAUAUAAAAGAUACAGGAAACCUUGAACGAAAGGCCAAAUUUUUUUAAUCUUAAUGGAAAAGGAGUAUUUUGACUGUAUAUUUUUAAAGGUAAAUGAUAAAAUUACCCAAAAUCAAUUUACAAAUGAUAUUUAUAUCAGAAAAAACAACUUUACCUUUGCUACCGACGCAAAUAUUGAGUGCAAUAAAGGGAAAAUAAACAUUAUAGUUUUUGAAUCCACAAUAAUUAGCUCCUCAACAAGUGUGAGGCCUUUUAGGGUUUUAUAUAUAUAAUAUAUAUAGACAGCCGUGGGCCACCUAUUUUGAAAAUUCUGACAAGGAUUUGCCCAACCUUAUACUGUGUAAUCAAUUUUUUUGAGGAAACAUUAUCCAGUGCUUGCAGGUGCACAUGCCGCGCAUGUAACCCGUUCUCUAGCAUAAGAGGACGACCAUAGUUGUUGUGCUGAUCAUAAACUCCCUCGUAAAAGUCUCUGUGUCUCUUGAAACCCAAUCUGUAGCCUAUCUUUUCUUGUUAUGGAGUUGUUCUUGGCAAUGCUUCCACUAUUAUUGUGCUAUAUUAUCUUCAACCUUUUUAAGUUGGGAUACCAAAAGAAAGAUCAGUGUUGCUAUAUGCUAAGCUAUGAGUGCCAUAAAGCCAC